UUUUUUUUUUUUUUUUUUUUUUAUUGUAGUAUAUGUCAUUACUAAUUACGAUUUUUGUUUAUUCACAGUGCACUGACAAAAUAAAUAUCCAUCAUAUAUUAACACCAGAUUGCGAUGUAACCAAUGUAACAUCUCCUGAUUGUUAUGUAAGUAAUACCUCUUGCCUCCGAAAUAUUUUUUUUUGACAAAUUUUGUAAACCUAUUUAUAUAUGAUAAAAAAUACAUAGGCUUCUACCAUCUUUUUAGUUAUAAAAACUAUGGACCUACUAAAAAUGGAUGACUUUCAAAUGUAAAACCAUGUGUGGAUAUAAUUAUAUUUUGAUAUUUCGAAGAAACAUAUUUACAAGGUUGCUUUUGCAGUACUAUCCGUAUCAUCUCAUUGAAUGUUGGGCCAACGAUGAGAGCGUUCGUGAAGCUCUUCAAAUUAAAAAGGUAUAUGCCAAGUUUAAAUUAAGAUCAUUGAUAAAGUAAGCUGAUAUAAAGAAAGUUUUUAAAUUUAAAUUAAGGACGAUCUAUGGUUACAGGGGAGUAAAGGAAAAUGGGCGCGAUGUAAUCGGACUAUUCCAUACAAUCACGACAUCGAAAGCAGCAUACCAUAUCACAUGAAUAACAGCAUAAGAGGAUACCGAUCUCUUAUUUAUAGGUUUGAUUUAAACCUAAAUCUUCUUUUUAAAAGCUAAUUUUAUACAACUACUAGUAGGAUUGGGCAAAAUUUUAUAAGCUGAGAGAUCGAACCAGGUGAAAUUAAAUCCAACCAAAUAUAACAAUUUCCCAAAUGGUAGGUGUUAAAGUUUUAAAACCCAAAAACAAAUUAAAACCGAAACAUAGAUUUAGUGUAAUAUAACCAAACUAAAAUUUAAUAAUUUAAAGUUACAUCCUUGUUUGAAAUAGACACAUAGAUUACAUACAUAUCAAAUUUGUUCAAAUUAUUAUAAAAAUUUUAAUUAUUUUUCAAGCGACAACGGAAUAGAGAGAUUUUGUCAAACUGAACCAAAACCAAAUGGAGUUACAGAUGAUUUUUAUUUGGAUUUUGUUUCUAUAAAACCAAAUGAAUCAUAUCAAAAACAAAACCGUAAACUGAGGUUUUAUACAACUUGUGUGAUUUAUGGUGAACAGUGGUGAUCAUGACAUUGCGGUCCCUUUUCUUGCAACUCAAGCGUGGAUAAGAUCUCUCAAUUACUCCCCCAUUCAUAACUGGAGGCCUUGGAUGAUAAACAAUCAAAUUGCUGGGUAAUAUAUUUAUGUCUUUCCUGUUUUAGAUCUCUCUUGUAUAUUUAUUUUGUAGUUAUAUCUCUAAACCUUAUGAACUUACGUAAAUUUUUUUUUUUGUUACAGAUACACGAGAGCUUAUUCCAAUAAGAUGACAUUUGCUACUAUCAAAGUAAGUAUAUAGUUUCAAAGUAAGUAUAUAGUUUCAGCUUAUUCCAAUAAGAGUGUUUUUUACAAGUGUUUUGAGCAUUUCGAUUAUAGGGAGGUGGACACACGGCAGAGUAUAGACCAAACGAGACCUUUAUCAUGUUCCAAAGGUGGAUCAGUGGCCAACUUCUGUAAUAAAGGCUCAUGAUGUUCACUUAUAAAUUAUCUACCAAGUAAUAUAUCCACGUUAACCGCAGUUGUUUGUUGUGAAAUGUUUUUGUUGUUUGAUUUGUUGCAUUUUUUGCGGGCAAUGUUACAUUUUAUGUGUUUUUGUGUAAUCCAGAUUAUUAUUGAGCGUUGUGCAAAUUCCUUUUACAUUUAAUUUGGGUAUUUAAUAAAAAAAAAUUUGGUCACAUGUUUAGUAGUGUUAUGAUCCUAUUUACUUGGUAUAAAUAUUUUCUUAAUCAAUCCAUAAAAACAUUUGUAAUUUAAAUUACUUCUUGCCUACUUACAUUGUAAAGUUUAGUUUAUUGUGCUGAUUUUAGGGGUGGGCAUUUUCAGAUUCAAUAUGGUUAAUCCGGUUAUUUCAUUGUCAUCCUAAUUUCCCAACUUAAAAAAAAAAUCUUUCUAAUUUUAAAAUCAACAAUGAAAUCACCAAACUUUCCAUAUUAAAUUCUUCUGAAACAAACAAAAUACGAAAUUAUCACCCGUCAAAAGAGUUAACAUACUUCUAGACUUUCUUAAAAUUUAAUACGUUAUGUUGCUGUUAGUGGUGUUACAAACAGACGUUAGCGAUUGAUACAAGUUUUUCUCAAUCUUAAAAAGCUUUAUGUUUUGAUGUAAAACUCAUGUUUUUUUUUUAUUUGUCCUUCUAGGAUUUUAGUAAGGUAAAAAUCUUUUGUUUUGGUUUGUGUUCUUAUGAACUAUAUGUUUUUUGUACAAAAGGGACUCAUCUCUCGUAAGAACUCUCUCUCUCUCUCUUUCAUGCCAUGGACCGGCUCAAAGUUUUCGCAUAAAGUAGUAGAGGCUCUUCAUGUUAAUAUAUACGGUGCUAAGAGGAAGCAGAAUAAUUUUUCUUUUCUUUAUGUUUUUUACCUAAAGAAGUAUAAAGCCACGUAUUUACCUAAAUUAACAUGACCAGUUAUAUAAUUAAGCUAAUUAUUCCGCUAGUUUUAAUUGCAACGAUAACUCAGAUGAAAAUUUGCUUUUAGGGAGUGUAUUUCGAAGGUCUACUAUGGGAGCAAAAAUAUUUAUAGGUUUAAACCACUCAGAACGUUUUUAAUAAUAUUUUCCUUUUCAAAUGGAAAAGUUUGAUAUUUUUUUUGACAAAUUCUGAAAGUUUGGUAUUUCUGGCAUUUCCCCCUUUUAUACAACCUAAACAAAUUUUCCUGUCAAAAGAAUGAUGAAUAAAUUAGUUUUUGUAGUCUUUUGAUAUUGAUUAUAUUUUAAAAUUUGUUUGGGCAACAGAAAACUUUCGACCGAGUUUGAGCAAUGUCCAUUAUUGAUGUCUAGUACUGGGCGAUUUGCUCAAAUUUUAGCCACAAAAGCAAUGUCCCUACAUGAUGCGGAGAUGUCACGCUUUUCAAAUUUUGUGGAAAGUGUAAUGAUAGAUAUAAUAAAAACCAAUGUAAAACAAAUGAUUUAAUACUUGAUGUGAUGGUUGCUGCACCAACCACGUGACUUCCCGAAUUGGUUGUUCCACACAAAACAAAAUUUGAAGAGAGCCUACUUAACGUUGAGCGACUAGUGAAUUAGCAAAACGCUAUCUAACUUAUGUUUUUCCUAAUGAUUAUAAAUAUCAUUUUUUCCCGUAAAAGGACACCAUAUUUAGAAACUAAAAGAAAAUGGGUUUGACACUAAAGCAUUUGUUUCUGCUUCUGCUUGUCUUGAGUCAUCAUGUUGAUUCUGCCAAUAUAGUCAAGUCUCUUCCUGGUUUGGAAGGCAGUCUUCCUUUCGAACUCGAAACCGGGUUUGUAAAAUGUCUCUUCCUUUUUACCAAUGAAACUAUGUGUUGUGAGUUUGGAGUUAGUAAAUUAGCCAUUCUUAUGAAUGAAGGUACAUCGGUAUUGGAGAGGACGAGGACAUCCAAUUUUUCUACUACUUCAUCAAAUCUGAAAACAAUCCAAGAGAAGACCCUCUUCUUCUAUGGUUAGAUGGAGGACCUGGAUGUUCUUCUCUCGGUGGCCUUCUUUUUGAGAAUGGUAAAUCUAUAAUAUUUAUUCUUUAGCUAAGCAUUAUUUUCAAUGAGUUGUUUUAAGUGAGGAAAAUAAAUUUUUAGGACCGGUGGCUUUGAAGUCAGCGGUUUAUAAUGGAAGUACCCCUUCUUUGUUCUCUACUACAUAUUCAUGGACAAAGGUAGCAUUAAGUAUAUAUAUGUUCAUAUUAGAUCACAAACCCCAAUAAUCUAUUCUUGAUCAUUUAAAAUUUUGGAUUUUUUUCUCAGAUGGCAAACAUAAUAUACUUGGAUCAGCCUGUUGGAUCUGGUUUCUCCUACUCAAGAACUCCAAUUGAAAAAACUAGUGACACAAGUGAAGUUAAGAGGAUCCAUGAGUUUCUUCAAAAGGUAAUAAGACAAGAUUAGGUGUAUCUUUAAAGCUCUUGUGUAUGUUGUAAUUCUCGUAAUGUAAAGUUAUUGAUUAAUAUUGAAAAAAAGAAAAUGGACUCUAGGAUAUCGAUCUUGAUGAGAUGUAGGACUUAAUCACACCGAUUAGCCGAACUCAUUAUGCUCAUCAACUAAAACAUAACCAUUUUUUUUUGCGCAGUGGCUUAGCAAACAUCCACAGUUUUUCUCCAACCCUUUUUACGUCACGGGAGAUUCUUAUUCCGGUAUGAUUGUUCCGGCACUCGUUCAAGAGAUCUCAAAAGGUAUGUUGUUUUAUCAAAUCAAAAGGUAUAUUAUUUUUAUUAGAAUAUGGGCUUCCAACUCAAAAACAAUUGAGUGGAUUGACCGACAUCUUAUAUAUACUGUCAAGAUUCUUGUCCAACUUUCGAUUUGAGAUAUUGUUAUCCCUAAUACGUCCCCUCGAAAUGAUGGUUCUAUAAUCACUGAUCUCAGUAUUUUAGACAAGGAUCGGUGGACCAAUUUUGGGUCUGACCGAUUGUAGAUCGGGCUGCACAAUGUGCAGAUCGGACUCUGAUACCAUAUUAGAAUAUGCGCCUCCAAUUCAAAACCAAUUGGCAAUAAGUGGAUUGACUCAUAUCUUAUAUAUACUGUCAGGAUUCUUGUCCAACUUCCGAUGUGGGAUAUUGUUUUCAUUAAUAGUGUUCUCAUACACAUUUCUUCGAAAAUCGUUUAGCUGAUAUCCUAUCACUUUUUAACAAUAUCGACAUUAUGAUGCAGGAAAUUAUAUAUGUUGCAAACCUCUUAUAAAUCUACAGGUCAUUGAUUAUAUUAUCAUUUCUUAUAUUUUGUAUAUAUGUUCAAAGUACUAACACUAAUGAUUCAUACUUAUAACUUCCUCCAUUUUUAUUACCAAAAACAGGGUUACGUGCUCGGAAACCCCAUAACAUAUGCUGAACAUGAAAAAAACUAUCGUAUUCCGUUUGCUCAUGGAAUGUCAUUAAUUUCUGAUGAACUCUACGAGGUAUAUAUUUUUAUCCGUUACAAUCUGGAUUUAAAUUUGUCAUUUUUGAAGCCUCAAAUGAUAUAACAAUGUUAAAAACAAUUGCAGUCAUUGAAGAGAACCUGCAAAGGAAAUUAUGAAAAUGUGGAUCCACGUAACACAAAGUGUUUGAAACUUGUUGAAGAAUACCAUAAGGUACACACUCUUAAAUUUGGUCCAUGUUUGUUUUCCCUUGGUAAUAAAUAUCAUCUCUAAUUCAGAUUUUUGUUUUGUUUUGUUUAUGUACAGUGCACUGACAAAAUAAAUACACAACAUAUAUUAAUACCAGAUUGCGAUAAAAAAGGGCAUGGAAUAACAUCUCCUGAUUGCUAUGUAAGUAUUAUAUCUUUCCUCCAUGGAAUAACAUCUCUUGUCUAGGCCUGGUCAUUCGGUUAACCGUUCGGUUCGGUUCGGUUGCGUUUGGUUUCGGUUAGUUCGGAUAUGGUAAUAUAAUAACUAUCGGAUAUUUUAGGAAUUUCGGUUCGGAUCGAUUUGGUUACUUUUCGGUUGGUUCGAUUCAGAUAUUUGAAUAGAUUACCGUAACUAACCAAAAUUGUAUCAGGUUCGGUUUGGUUUGGUUUGAUUUUUUACCCAAAAUAACCGAAAUUAACGGAAUAUAACUGAAACUAACUGAAAAAAAUACAAAGAAAAACAAAUAUUAGAAGGAAAAUUAAAAUUUGGUUCAAUUUUGUGGACAAAUAUAACUAACAACAUUUGGAUAUUUUUAUUAUUUAAAGUAUUUGAUUGUUUUGAUUUUAAAAAUAAUUAAUAUUUUAAGUUUAUAAUUAUAGUUUUAGGUAUUAUUUUUGGAUAUUUUCUAGAUUUUUAGAUAUUUCGGUUAACUUUUAGUUAUCGGUUUGGUUUCCGUUAGUUUGGAUAGAAAAUUUUACUAACUAUUCGGUUAUUUAAAAAACUUCAGUUUGGAUACGGUUCGGAUUUUUUUGGUUCGGUUCGGUUGGUUAUUCGAUUACCAAUUUUGUUGCCCAAACCUUCCUCCUGAUUUAUUUUAUUUAAGUAAAAACGUCUUAAAAGUUGGGAUCCCAUUCAUUUAUUCUACCUUUAGCGGUUAAUAGUUAAACCGAUAGAGGAAAAUAUAGUAAUAUUCAAAUAAAAACUUUUAGAGAAAAAUUUACACAAUAUGUAUGAUCAAAAAUUUUGACAAAUUUUCUAAUUAGUUUUAAAUCAAAGUACCUACAGAUUUACAUGCUUUUUAACUAUAAAGCUAAGAACUUAAUAAAAAUGGAUUAUCCAUUAUGUAAAAUUAUUUAUAGACAAAUCCUUAUACAAGGUUGCUUUUGCAGUAUUAUCUGUAUUUUCUCAUUGAAUGUUGGGCCAACAACGAGAGAGUUCGUGAAGCUCUUCAUGUUAGAAAGGUAUAUGCUAACUUGGUUUAAGAUCUUUUAAAAAAACAGAGGUUUAAGGUUAUUAACUAUCUACAAUUACAGGGAACUAAAGGACAAUGGCAGCGAUGUAAUUGGACAAUUUCAUACGAUAACAACAUUAUAAGCAGCGUACCAUAUCAUAUGAAUAACAGCAUCAGUGGAUACCGAUCUCUUAUUUAUAGGUUUGUGUUAAUAUUAUGUUUUAAGAGAACAUUACUUAUUUGGGUGAACACAAAAAAAAAAAAAAAAAAUUACUUAUUUAAAAUUUAACCAAAAAAGUUCAUUACUUUUAAAACCUAAUCUUGUUCCCUAUACAACUACAAACAGGAUUAAUCAAGAAAAAAUAUUUAUAACCAGAGAUAUCGAACAAAACGAAAUUAAAUGAAACAGAAUUAUGUAUACAAAACGAUUUAUUGUAUGGUUUAUGGUGAACAGUGGUGAUCAUGACAUCACAAUGCCUUUCCAAGCAACUCAAGCAUGGAUAAAAUCUCUAAAUUACUCCAUCAUUCAUGAUUGGAGGCCUUGGAUGAUAAAGGAUCAAAUCGCUGGGUAUAUACAUUCUUUCUUGUUUUAGCUUUCUUUUGUUCAUUCAUUUUCUUAUCAAAGUCCUGUAUAAAUCAUUCUUGCCUUUGUUUUCUUGGCAGAUACACGAGAACUUAUUCCAAUAAGAUGACAUUUGCUACUAUCAAAGCAAGUCUUAUUAUUUCAAUUUUCAACUUAACAUUAUUUUCUGUCAUUUCAUCAUAACAAUGAAAGUGUAUUAAUAUUUUUGACUGUUUGGAUUAUAGGGAGGUGGACACACUGCAGAAUAUCUACCAAACGAGACCUUUAUCAUGUUCCAAAGGUGGAUCAGUGGCCAACCUUUGUAAUAAUAGAGGCUCAUUGCCUGUACGAAUUACGUAGAUUAAUAUUCACACUACUCGCAAUUUUUGUUUUGAAAUGUUUACAGAAAAUUGAACUAAAUUUGUUCUUAUUUGUUAUGUUCCUAAACUUUUAUUUUGUUAUUUGUUAUGUUACUUACAUUUUCUUGUGUUAUUCAUGUAAUGUUAAAUUUCUGUGUGUUGUGUGUUUUACUUUUAACUAGGAUUCAACCCGCGGUAAACCGCGGGUGUUGGUUUUUAUCUCGGUUUGCGUUUUAUAUAUUUAACAAUGUAUAAGUGAUUAUUUUAACACACAGUGUUAGGUAUAUGUUUUUUGUGGUUGAUUAAUUAUUAGUUAGGAGUAGCCAUUUUAAGUUGGUAUGAUAAAAGUGUUAAAACUUACGUGUAUUUUUUGUGUUAAAUUAUGAGUCUAUAGUAAAAGUAUUGAACAAAUGUUAAAAAUAAAAGUUGAAAUGUUUGAUAUUUGUAAUUGUUGUAAUAGUGUAAAAAAUUGCAUUGAUUUUGUUAAUAAACAACCAAUGGUGUAAUAAAAUCAUGAUACAGUUUCUAGGGAAAGAUUUGGAGCCAUCUUUGCAUCUGAUAAUAUAUCUGAGUCGAAAUACUUACUCUGCCUCACAAAGAACUACCUCAAGAUUUUUAAACUUUGUUAAGAUAUGGCUUACAUUGCAAAAACAAACUGGAACAUUGAUACAUGAAUUCAAAGUCUCAAAAAUCUGCAACUACUCAAAGUCUCAACAUCCAUCUUCAUUAUCCUUAAUUUAAUGGAAGAAGGUAUGCUUCAUAUUCUUAAACCAAACCUUGCAGAAACCUGCAAUUUCUCAAAUCAAAACCUGCAAUUUAUAACUCAAAAAAUCAAAAACUGCAAUUUUUCAAACCAAAAUCUGCAAAUUCAUUCACCAAAACCUACAAUUAAUAAUUAGGAAACCAAAACCUGCAAUUUCUCAAACCAAACCUUCAACUUAAAAACCAAAACUUGUAACUUAACAACCAAAUUCUGCAAAUUAAUUCACCAAAAUUUUUAAUCUAUAGCUUAGACAAACCAAACAUGCAACUUAGACAAUAAAAAUCUCCAUGUUGCUCAAAAAAAAAAAAAAAAAAAAAGACAAUAAAAAUCUCCAAAUUAAUUAAUCAAAACUUGCAACUUAGACAACCAAAACCUAAAAAACAUAACUACAUAUAAUAAAACAAUAAGAGGAUGAUGUGAUAUAGAUUGGUUCAAGAACAUAAGUAACAAAAAGAAUUCAAACUCAUAAAAAAUAAGUAUUCAACAAAACUGAACACAUAAAACGUGUUCAUAUACUUGAGCCUAUACUUAUGUGGAGAGAUAAAAAAAGGGGGACUCAAAUGUUCAUAUACUUGAACUCAUACUUUGCUGAAAUUUGACUAACCUUGCCCAUAAUCACUUUCUCUUAGUCAAUCCGUUUCUUCUCUUCUGCAUUAUUCGAAUUUUCUUUUCUUUUUAUCAUCCAACAUCUAUUUGAAGAGCUCACGUUGUUGUUUCUCCAGAAUUGGCUCACAUGCCUUGACCACCACUGGCUCCGCAACCAUUGUGGAAGACGCAGUCUUUUCCACAAUAAUAGGAGCUGCAACUAAACCAUAUUUAGCAGCUGUCUUUUCGUUUACAAACUCUAUGUCUUCUUUCUUAAUGUUAAAAAAAAGAUAACCUGCAAACGAAUAAGGCAAAGAACCAUCAGUAUUUGAGAUAAAAAAUCUCUGUGAAACUCCUCUACACUUCUUUAGCUGCAGUAUUAAACCACUAAAGCAUAAAUUUUUUUAUCAAACUAAACCAUAUAAAAGCAAGCUAAUCACUCCUUAAUCGCAAUCUUUAACCAAAAAAAGCACAGCUUUAUUACACAAAUCCCUAAUUUUGGUUGGAACUGACCUGUACAUCUAGAGCAUUAACAUCGAGAUGAUCUGAAAUUAAGAAUCGGAACCGAGAUGAUUUGAGAUUAGUACCUGAUCCAAGAAUUCGAUUCACCGGAAAACCAGAGAGUUUCCAAGCAACAUAAGUCAAAACAUCGACAUGAUAAGAAACAAUGAUCAAGAUAGAAUCAGGAGAAGCUUUAGCGAGUCAAGGAAAGAUACCCACAUGACAUGGUACCUUCCCGCAGCUGGAGAAAACUCCUACAGUCAUAUAACAAUCACAAAGUAAAGUUAAAUGAGGAAACUCUUCUACCAUUGAUUGACAAUGAAGCGAUAAGGAAGCACAAAGAAGAAAAAACUCAUAAUCAAUGAAAAGGAAAACAUGAUAAUCCAAAUUCAAAAAUAAUAAUUGUCUAACAAAUGAUCAAACUUCUUCUAAGCACAUAACCAAUAAAAACCGACUUGUAAUAAGAACUAAAGCUACUUGCGCAAAAGAAGAACCACACCAACAACAACAAAAGAAAUCAAAUAUUAGUUAUACCACCUUCAUCCAUCUAAUUCGUAACUCUAAACAAUGAAGCUAAAUACAACGUUUAUAAGAAAUAAAUCCUAUAUGGAUAAUUAAUCAGACAUAACAAAAAAACUUAUUGUUUUCUUAUAGAAUCUCACAACCAUAAGAAAAAUACUACGAUUGAGUUGCUAAGCUAAGAGGAAUUUGAGUGAUGAAUUGGAAAUGAGAAUGACGUUGAUAUUUAUAGCGCUGAAUGAUGCUAGGGUUUUUGGCUCCAAUAUUUUAAAAAUCUAGAAAAAUAUCUUGGAGAAAAAGCAUAAAAUCAAAGAUACUAUUCACAAUAUAUGUUCGAAUUUGGAAUUAAACUUUCAAAAAGAGAACUAUUUACCAGGUCUUAUGGUUUUAGGCAUUUAUGGGCCUGAGAAAAAGACAUAUUUGCCCUUGUUUCUGCAUCUUUUUUUUCGUUCUUCUCCUCCGACAACUGACAUAUGAACAACAAAUCCUAACUUUCGAUUCCUCUCCCAACCACAACCCUUGCUUUCCUAGCCAACACCAUCUCCGAUGAGUUCUACGAAUUCAGUUAACUUUGUUUUCAAUUAAGGAAACUAAACCCUAAGGGGAAACUACUAAACCCAAAGGCUCCAAUUAAAAGAAAAGUGUGAUGGAUCGGCGGUUUGAGUAGAGAGUGGCGACCCAUCACCGAUAAAAGACCAUGUCAGACUUGGAGGAAGAUUUGGCUUUCCUUGAUUUUUCCAAUCAAGAAUCUAAGAGAGAUAACGACGAGAAGAUUGUAAAAAUUAGGAUUUUGGUUUCCAUUGUUUAGAUCUCUUAUGAGAUUUUUGUGAUUGAAGAAAAGCUUAAAAAAUUUCGUUCGAAUUUGUGUCUGUAUAAGAGAUACUGACUUAUGCGAGAGAGAGAGAGAAUAGAGAGCUGCAGUUUGGGAGAGAAGAAACAAGAAUAUUGAGGGUAAAUUCGUCUUUUCCCUCUCACUAAAAGUACUUAGAUCAGUAAGUCUUGGUAAACGUUCCGUUUUCAACAAUUUUCAUCGAAAAUAAUGCCCAUUUCCGUAAUUUAUUCUUUAACAUAUUUAGUAACAAAAUGUAAACAUUUUGGGCCAUGAAAACUUUGUACCAGCCACUGGUGGGGAUCGAUUUUAAAAUUUUGUGGAAAGUGUAAUGAUUAUAUGAAUACAAACCAAUGUACUAACGUGGAAGUCUUUUAGUCACGUGAUUGACCAAUGUAUUUGUUUUUUUUUUUCCUUUUUAGUCACGUUGUUUGAACCUUUGUUUGAAAAAUCGCUAGGCGCUAGUCGGGCGUUCAGCAUGGGCCUAGCGAUUAAUCGGAAAAUCAGAUUAAAAUCGGGGAUUAAUCGGGGAUUAGUUUUAGGGUUAUUUUAAUAUUUUUAAAAUAUAUUAAUCCAAUAUUAUAAAAAUUUAUGAUUUUUAUUACAAAUUUAUGAUUUUUAUUAAAAUUUGAACACACGUUAUUGUAAAACAUCACAAACUCCCCAUUCAAAUGAUUGAAUAACAAAAAUGAAAGGUUUUUUUUAUACUUGCAAUCUAAAAAAUAAUCGGGGUAUAUAAGAUAAGGUGGAAAAUAAUCGGAUUAGGCGGGAAGUAAUCGGAUUAGGCGGAGAAUAAUCGGGUUACUGAUUUUUUAGGGGAUUAGUCAUUAAUCGAGGCGGAUAGGGUGGGCCUAGCGAUUAAGCGGAGAGUAAUCGGGGCUAGGCGGGGAUUUUUAGAAUAACAAUGAUUUUUAGUGGCUCCAAUUAAAAUAAAUCUGUGCAAUUUUUUUAAUUGUAAACUGGAACAGUAAAUUUUUACGGAAUAAUGUAAAGCUGUACAAAACAGAUACAUGAAAGUUAUACAAAAAACUGACAGUAACAUUUUUAGUAAAACUUUUAAUAUUACUUUUGUGAUUAGUAACUAUUAAAUUGAAGUUGUAUGGGGUUACCAUUUAAACCCAAUACUCUUACACCAAGUUUUGGUCAAAACUUAUCAGUAUUUAGAAUACUGCAGAUAACACUAUCCGCAAGUUGUGUAUAAUGUAGGAAAAUCAUUAUUAAUAGAUAGAAAUGUCAAAACGAACCAAGCUAUGCUCGAAGGGUCGAUCCUAGCCAAGCCAACCAUACAGCAGAUGUGGAUAUAAAUAUUAAGUCUGUUUAGAAGCGUGUCUCGUGGGUAAAUUCAGGCAGCCCACCGGCUAGCGGGUCGACAUGCGUGUUACAAAUAUUUAAUAAAAAUUUAUAUAUCAUAUAAAGAAAUAAAUAUUUUAUAAAGAACUUUAAUUUAUAUAAAUUCUAAUAUUUAUGAAAUAAUUAUAUUAAAAGUUAUAUUAAUUUGAAAAAUUAUUAGUUUAAGUUUUAAGGAAAAAUUUUUAUCUUUUAAUUAUUUCAAAAAUAUAAAAAUUAAAUCCGCCGGCCGGUCCAGUAACCCCUAGAGCGGGCUUGGACAUAUUUUUUUGCCCGCAGUCCUAAUAGGCUAAUUCGUCGUGGUCCAACAAAAAAUAAUGCCCAUCACAGGCCGGUUCAGAUAGAUGCGGACCAGCCUGUUUGACAUAUGAUAGGUUUAUAUAUGUAGCGAUAGAGGAAAGAAAAAACAAAGUAUUGAUUGUACAUUUAAAUUUUAGAGGAGCAGGCAAAGCAAAUUAAUUUUAAACUAGGUUCUAACACGCGGUAAUCGCGGGUGAAUAAUAUUGUUACAAUUUUUGUAAAACUUGAGUUGCAUAGGAGGAUCUUUAAUAUAUUUUUAGAAUUUGUUUUUAGUUUUUAUUUAUAUUUACUUUGUAUAAUGUUAUUUGAUAGUGUUUGUGUAUUGUAUGUCUCUUGUUUUUGUUUCCGAAGGUUUUGUUUGUGACUUUGUUUGUGAUUUAUAUUAAUUAUAGGACGAGGUUAUAUGUCGUCGGUUUGGAUUUAUAAUAGAGGAUUAUGAUUCAGAUUUUAUAAUUAAACGAAAUUAUAUGUCGGUUUAAGUUUAUAAAAAAGGGGUUAGGGUUUGGAUUUGACAAUUAAAUGUGGAUAAAAGAUUGUUUUGGUUUUAUAAAAGAGUGAUUAUGGAUUAAAUUUUAUAAUCCAAUGAGUUUAAUUUUUUUAUUAGGUGUCAAGAUUAUGAAUUAGAUAAAUAUAUAGGUGGUGAAAUCCUUAAGCCCUUUUAUUUGGUUUUUAAUUUAGUUUUCGUAAUUUUGAUUCAUUUGUGAUUACAAUUAUACCUUUAAUGAGUUUAUUGAAAAAAAUUUCACUAGAGACGACCAAUUGCAUUGUGACAUAAUUUUUAACAACUUUUAAGUUAGUUUUUCUAUUUUAGGCUUCUCAACUAGUAGUAUUAGUAGUAGUAGGAUAUUUUUAUAUUGUCUAAACCAACUCAAUUAUUUAUCGACCGAAGAGGGCCUACUGAACGUGGAGCGACUACUGAAUUAGCAAAAACACUAGAAAUAUAACAAAUAUUUGGUAUAUAAAAACCAUUUGUCUUUGCUAAAAGAACUUAAAUCAUUAGAAACAAAAAGAGAAUGAGUUUGACACUACAGUUUCUGCUUCUUCUUCUACUUGUCUUGAGUCAUGUUGAUUCUGGUUCUACUUCUAUCGUCAAGUUUCUUCCUGGUUUUGAAGGCCCUCUUCCUUUCGAACUCGAAACCGGGUUUGUAAAAAGCUAAGUCUCUUCCUUUUUACCAUUAUGAGUUGUGAGUAUGGAGUUAACAACUAGCCAUUCUUAUUAAUGAAGGUACAUUGGUAUUGGUGAAGAUGAGAAUGUGCAAUUUUUCUACUAUUUCAUCAAAUCUGAGAAGAACCUGGAAGAAGAUCCUCUUCUUAUAUGGUUAAAUGGUGGACCUGGAUGUUCUUGUCUCAGUGGCCUUUUUUUUGAGAACGGUAAACCUAUAAUAUUUCUUCUUUCAGUAAGCAUUAUUUUCACUGAUUUGUUUAAAGUGGUAAACAUAAAAAAACAAAUAGGACCUUUGGCUUUGAAGAACGAGGUUUACAAUGGCACUGUCCCUUCUUUGGUCUCUACUACAUAUUCAUGGACAAAGGUAGCAUAAAGUAUUUAUCUUCAUAUUGGAUCACAAAGUUCUUGAUCUUUUAAAGUUUUGGAUCAUAUUCUCAGACGGCAAACAUAAUAUACUUGGAUCAGCCUGUUGGAUCUGGCUUCUCUUACUCAAGAAUUCCAAUUGAAAAAACUAGUGACACAAGUGAAGUUAAGAGGAUCCAUGAGUUUCUUCAAAAGGUAAUAAAACAAACUUAACUGUCUUUUUAAAGCAUUUCUCAUGGGGCCUCUAAGCUCAUGUACUUAAACGAUAAUCAACCACUGUGAAUUCCGUAUGUCUACUAGACAAUGUCUAGUGAGAUUGACAGAUUUAUUAAUUUGAUUCUAAUAAAUUGCUUUCCGUAAACCAGAGUGGAUUAAUUUAUUAAGUGAUGUUUUAGGAGAAUGCACAUAGAUUAAGAAAUCAUUUAAUUUUUGUUUAUUUCUAAAUUAAAACAUCAUUUAUUAUCUAAUCAACCAAUUAAAACAUAAUUUACAUGAUAUAAAUCGUCAAAACCAAUAAAAAAAAUUAAUUUUGCAUUCAAAAUUGAAAAUUAAAAACAUCAUCUAUUUAAGAACAAAAUUAGAAGCUUAAAACAUCACUUAUAAAAAAACGGAGAGAGUAUUAACCUGCCUAAUCAACAUUAAUUUUGUUUGAUCCUUACUUAUUCUGUUUAGGAUUUAGGGUGAUAUUUAUGGAAUUUUCUAAAUAUUGUGCAAAUUUUGGAAAAAAAAAAAACAUUUUACGGAGGUAUUUUUGUCAAUUUCCAUUUAUUAUUUUCCAUUAAAUGUUUUAUUUUUGGACAAUAGUAUAUUCCAUUAUAUUAAUCAUACGACCCUUGUAGUCGGGAUAAGGUUCAUUCAUUUGUUUAUUAUCAUAAAUCUCCACAAUUAAUAUGUAGACAAUAACAAUAAAUAACGUGUGUAAGGAGAAACAUGGAGUAGAGAUCAUUAAGUAGUAUAAGACCAUAAUAAAAUGAAUCUCAGGGAAUAACAUCUAAAAUACCUUAUUUCAUUCGUUAUUCUUCAAGAGCCAUAUAAAUUUUAAAGUUAAAAAAAACUUAAGAUAAAGAGUAAAAGUAAUGACAUGUACGAGUACUACUAAUUUGGUGUUUGGAUAUUCGUACAGAUCUCAAAAUAUUUUUUUUCCGUUAAAAUCAGUGUUCUAAAAUACGAUAUACACUAGGCGUACGGCGGAACACCGUAUAGCGUAUAGACGUAUAUACGGCCGUUUAUGCAGGGACUAUACGGUGAAUAAUAUAUAUAUAAUUUGUCAAAAUAUAUAUAUAUAUAUAUAUAUAUAUAUAUAAUUUGUCAAAAUAUUCAAUAUAGUUAAAAAAUUAUAAUAAUAAUAAUAAACAUAAAUAUAGUAACAUGAUGAAUACUAUACAUGAAUACAAAAAAUAAUAAAAUUUUAACUUUACAAAAUAUUUAAAAUUGUAAAUAACUAGUAAGCAUAAAAAUAAUAGAAAAGAAUGACAAUAAAUUUAUUUUUAAGUUAAUUAUUAUGAUUAAUUUUUGAAAGCCAAACUAAAUAUUUUUGUUAAAUCAUUUUCCAAACAUUAAUAAAAUGACAGUUUUUAUUUUUGAGCAUUAAAAAAAAGCGUCGUAUAUGCGGAAUUCACCGUAUAAUCGUCGUAUAUACUGACCGUAUAGCUUUCACCAUAUUAAACAAAUGUAUAGCCAUAAUACAGUACGGCUUUCCACCGUACAACGUAUACACGGCCUACAGAUUGUAUUUUAGAACAUUGGUUUAAAUUAAUAAGCGAUAUAACUUAUUUUAACUAUUUAAGUGAAUUGUUCGAAUUUUAACACAUUUAAUAUUAUUAUCCAUAUAAUUCAACGUGCAUCUUGAUAAAAAAAAACUUAUAGCAGACUUAACCACUCUAGUUUACCGAACUUGUUAAAACUUAAAACCAUCCCGUCUCUUAUAUGUUUUGGAAUGUUAUUGGUUUCUAAUUUAUAUGAAAUUUUGAUAAAUUUAAUAAAAUCAUAUAAAACUCUAUUUAAAAUUCUAUAUAAAUUAGAUUGAAUAACAACAGAUUCUACAUAACAUUUAAAUGUACUAAAACUCUAUUUAAAUCACAAACUAAUAACACACCCUAAGUCUAACACAUUAAUUCUGAAUUUUUAUUUAAACGAAAAAUAACACAGUUUAGGAGUUUAUUAGUAUUCUACGAGCUUAUAAGCUCAUCAAUUAAUCAAAACAGGGAUUAUUGCUGAUUUUGUCAUUUUGUCAUCCAAAUCUUUUGGAUUUAUCAUAUUGAUUCAAUAUGUUAGAUUUGCCAUUUUGGUCACUUUAAAAACUAUACAUUUGUAAAUUUGUUUUAUAAAAUGCAUACUUAACAACAAACACUAAAUCUUAAAAUAAAUUGAAACAAGAAAAAAUAAACAUAAUAAAUUAAUACGUCAAAUUGUGUUUUUAGAUAGAGAAAAAUAGUAAAUCUAAAAUAUUUAAGACAAAAUAGCAAAAUCCACAAAUACCACUAAAAGAGACGUUUUCCUAAAUAUUUUAUUAAACAGAACAUCUAAAGCUUUUUGUUUUGCAGUGGCUAAGCAAGCAUCCACAGUUUUUCUCCAACCCUUUUUACGUUGUAGGAGAUUCUUAUUCGGGCAUGAUUGUUCCGGCCCUCGUUCAAGAAAUCUCAAAUGGUAUGAUGAUUUUAUAUCAUAUCAACCAAUCCCCAUACACUUUUAUUUGAAUAAUGUUUAAUUGAUUUUUCUCUCACGUUUUAACAAUAAAGCUACUAUGGUGCAGGGAAUUAUAUAUGUUGCAACCCUCCUAUAAAUCUACAGGUCAUUGAUAUUUAAUUGCUUGUUAUAUUAUGUAUAUUUUUCGAAGACUAAAAAAUAUUCUUGCCAAAAACAGGGUUAUGUGCUCGGCAAUCCGAUAACACAUAUUGAAUUUGAACAAAACUUUCGCAUUCCAUAUGCUCAUGGAAUGUCAUUAAUCUCUGAUGAACUCUACAAGGUAUGAAAUCAUUAACACAUAUUGAGAGUUUUUAUUUUAUGAUUCGAGUCUCGGCCUGACUUAAAUCCUCUCUUAUAAUUUUAUCUUUUACUAACCGGAUCUAACCAUACCAUUUUUCAAAGCCUCAAAUGAUAUAACAAUGUUCAAAACUCUGUUUCUUUCAGUCAAUGAAGAGAAUCUGCAAGGGAAAUUAUUUCAAUGUGGAUCCACGUAACACAGAAUGUUUGAAGCUUGUUGAAGAAUACCAUAUGGUACACACUGGAAAUUUGUCAAUUUGUUUUCUUUUUUGCUUGGUUAAUUAAUAUAAUCACUUACAGAUUUUUUUCCCUUGGUAAUUUUCUCUUGAUAUAAUCACUAACUCAGAUUUUUUUAUUUUUACUUUACAAGUGUACUGACAAAAUAAAUAGCCAUCAUACAUUAAUAGCAGAUUGUGAUGACUCAAACACAAUCCACAUAUCUCCUGAUUGCUAUGUAAGUAAAUUUUCUACAAUCUUUUUAGUUAUGAAAACUAAGAAUCAGAUUAAAAUAGAGGAAUCAAUAUGGACAAUUAUGAGUUGACAUACGUUUAUUUCGAUAAAUAGUUCACCAAAUUUUUUAAUAUUUAUGAUAUCUUAAAGAAACAUAUUUACAAGGUUGCUUUUGCAGUAUUAUCCGUAUCAUCUCGUUGAAUGUUGGGCCAAUACCGAUAGCGUUCGCAAAGCUCUUCAUGUUAUUAAUGUAAAAACCAACUUUAUUUUAAGAGUAUUGAUAAAGCGUGAAACUAUUAUAGAACAUUUUUAUAGAACCUAAAUUAUUAACUAUAUAUUAUUAUACAGGCGAGCAUAGGAGAAUGGAUACGAGAUAAUCGUGGUAUUCCAUACAAUCGCGACAUUAUGAGCAGUGUACCAUACCAUAUGAAUAACAGCAUUAAUGGCUACCGAUCUCUUAUCUUCAGGUUAGAGUUAAAUUUACUUUUAAAAUACUGAUCUUGUUCCUAGGGGUGCGAAAAAAAAUCCAUAACCAGAGAGAGAUCGGACCAAACCGAAUACAAUGAAACCAAAAUAUUGUUAAAAAACCAUAAAACAAAGACGCAAACAGAUUUUAGUGUACCCAAACUAAACUAAACCGAAUGAACCAAAUUUUAUUAAAAUUUAAUAUUUUUCUAAGUUAUAGGCACAUUCAUAUUACGUAAAUAAUUUUUUUUUACUAAAAACCAUAUGUAUAUUUUAGAUGACUUUUCUAAGUACAAUCAAACCAAAUCAAAACUGAAAAACCAACCCGAAGUUGAAUCAAACCGAACCGAAACAAAUUCAAAUUAUAAAUGGUUUUUUGUGUUUUAGUUUCUAUCAAAUUACCGUAAAACCUCUAUAAAUUAAUAAAAUUGGGACCAAUGUAUUUUACUAAAUUUUAUUAAUUUAUAGAUGUUUCAUUUGUGCGGUUUAUGGUGAGCAGUGGUGAUCAUGACAUAACAAUGCCUUUCCAAGCAACUCAGGCCUGGAUAAAUCUCUAAAUUACUCCAUCACUGAUGACUGGAGGCCUUGGAUGAUAAAAGAUCAAAUCGCUGGGUAAUAUAUAUACAAUUUUUGUUUUAGAUCUCUCUUGUUCAUUUUCUAGACGUAUCAAAAACCUCUCAAACUCACGUAAGAAUCAUUCUUGCCUUUUUCUUGACAGAUACACGAGAACUUUUUCCAAUAAGAUGACAUUUGCUACAGUCAAAGCAAGUCUUCUUAAUUGUUUCAUCUUAACAUUUUUAUUUUUAUUGCAUUUCCAUUUGAAAAAUCUAUUGUAAUUUUAAUUUUUUUGGGGGCGUUUUGAUUAUAGGGAGGUGGACACACGGCAGAAUAUCUACCAAACGAGAGUUCUAUCAUGUUCCAAAGGUGGCUCAGUGGCCAGCCUUUGUAAUAGAGGCUCAUCAUGACUUUUGUCCUUUUGUCUCCUUGUCAUAACCUUGUCGGUCACCGCGUGAUAAUAAAUAAGUUUGCAGAGAAGUUUUUGUUAAUGAACUUUUAUGCAUGAUAAUAUAUCAUACUUGAAUUUGAAUCAUUCUAUUUGAGUUAAAGAACUCGACCCUAUGUUAAGUUUCAUGGGUUUCAAACAUAAUUCAUUAAAGAUUAGUGGAUUAGUCCAUGUAAAAGGUAGAGAGACAUACUUCGAUAUAUCAUAACUUUGUGUCUCUGUCUUCCGUACCACCACAAGACUGGUCGUUCUUGGGCUUAAGAGCCCCAAAAUCAUAAGGGAUAGGGAAAAGGUAGCCUAUCAUAUCAAAAGGGCAAUCCAUUCUUAGAAUAUGUGUUUCAUGUCAAUAGGUUAAGUUAUGGGUUCGUCGUUUUGUUUUGAAUCCGUAAAAAAUAGAACGUUGUAAGUUGUAACGUUGGUUAACGCAGCCUGAGAAGUUUUUGACCCCUUUACCUAUUUUGGGUGAGCUGAUAGUAAUUUGAAGAAGAAAAUGAAGAAAUAGAGACCAUAAAAAUGAGAACAUGUGGAAUCUUUUGGUGAAAAAUGUAUUGAGGAUGAUACUUUGUAAUUUGGGCCUGGUCCGGCCCAUACUUAACAGCAUGAAAAGUAAAUCGUGCAAAAAGAAUCGAAUUAUCAGAGCCAGGUUUCGAUCCUGGGACCUGUGGGUUAUGGGCCCACCACGCUUCCGCUGCGCCACUCUGAUUUUCUUGAAUAAAUCAGCACUUGCUUAUAUUUAUAAGUUAAUAUACCACAAUCAUUCUUAGCUAAACGCUUUUUCUUUUCCGAAACCCUUUAUAAAGGAACCCUAUUUUACCAUCACCUUUUUUUUUUUUUUUUUCUUCUGAAUGAUUCCAUAUAUUCAAUAACAAAAGGUCACAUACAAAAAGAAACGAAUGCAAUCAAACAACAAAAACUCAUUACACAGUAGUAAUGCAUUUAUCAUUUUCAAACACUUUCUGAAGCCAAAAGGGGUAGCUACUUGCUACGUAUGAUUGUAAACGUUCCUCUUUAGUGACACUCCUAGCAAUCAAGACAGCUCCGAGAUUACCUUUCCGAUCUUCAUGAACCACUCUCCAAGCUGGUAGAAAGGAUAAGGCGAGAAGGAGACAUUCUGAGUGAGAUUUGAAGUUAGGCCAAGCUGCAGGACGAAGGACAGCACCUGCCAACUCAAUCGGCUCAAAAGCAAAAAUCACUCUAUGAAUAUGAAGAUCAUGCAUGGCCUUGAUAGCCCAAAUACAACCUUGGAGUUCGGCUUCACCCUUCGAGGAAAUAGAUGGUAAAGCAGCCCUACUGAGGAGAAGAACAAUACCUUCAGAAUUUCGCAAAACCCAGGUCACACCACAAAUAUUUUUCUCCUUACUCCAAGAGGAAGCCACAUUGCAUUUUAACCAAGGCUUUGGAGGAGGCCUCCACUUAUGAUUGUAAUCUUGAGUUUGGGCAAUAGAGAGGACAGAAUCUUGAGACUCCAAAACCUGAGCUUGAAACCACUCCUCAGAAUCUUCCUUGAAUCUUAAUAGGAUAUCUUUUGGUGUGGAAGCCAAACCUUCAAAGAAAAUGCUAUUUCUGUUCUUCCACAAAGACCAAAGAAUCCAAAGAGGUGAUCUUCUUACUUCAAUAGGGACUCUGGAAUUCUUACACAUUAAAAUCACAUGGAACAGAUUCUGAUAAAUAGAACGAGGAUCAAAACCAUCCUUUGGUAGAGGCAGACCAGAAAGAGCCCAAAUCUGUCUUGAAAAGGAACAAGUGAAGAGCACAUGAUUUAUUGAUUCCCCUUCAUGACCACAAAUAUGGCAGCGUUGGUCCACCGUCAUUCCCCUAGUGCUCAGCCGUUCCGCCACAGGUAAAGCUCCACUAAUUGCUUUCCAAAUGAAGAUCUUGAUUUUUGAUGGAGCAAGUAGCUUCCAGAUUUGCUCUUUAAUCCCAUUCAAGGAUGGAAGCAUGGAUGUCUGACGAAUAGCCUCUUCAUUUUGCUCUUGGGACGCCAACCAAUAACCAGACUUAACACUGUAAACACCACUUUUAUUGUGCCUCCAACAUUUGAAGUCAGGAGAAGAGAGAACAGGUUUGGUCUUUUUAAUAAUCUCAAUAUCUCUAGGAAAGAAAUGAUCAUUAAGGAUUGAGAGAUCCCAGUCCCUAGUCUCCAAAUUAAUGAGCUCCCUUACAGAUAACUCCAAAUCCACCAGAAUGUUCUUCAUGAAGGGAGCUCUCAUACGGCUGCCAUCCUCUAACCACAAUGUUGUCCAAACCAAAAGAGAGUUACCAUCACCAACCUUCUGAAUUAAACCUUUUUCAAGUAAAUCCCUUCCAUGCAUAACACUUCUCCAACCAAAAGACGGUCGUGAACCCAUGGUAGCCUCAAGAAAAGAAGAGUCAGAGAAGUACCUGCUCUUCAAGAAACGGCCUAAGAGACAAUCAGGAGCUUGAUUGAAGAGCUCUAUAUCUUUAAAACCCAACCCUCCUAAGCUUUUUGGCAAACAAAGUUUCUCCCAAGCAACCCAACUGAUCUUUCUAUGAUUCUCCAUAGUGCUCCACCAAAAAGAAGACAUAGCGCUUGAUAAGGACUCACAAGUGGCCUUAGGUAAUUUAAAGCACGACAUGGCAUAGACCGGCAUCGCCAUUGCCACAGUCUUCAAGAGAAUCUCUUUUCCACCUUGAGAGAGAGUCUUAGCAAACCAACCGGAGAGUCUGUUCUUAAGCUUCACAUGAAUGUACUCCAACAUCUCCUUUUUAGAGCCACUAAAACAUUCUGGUAAUCCCAAGUAGGUACCAGCACCUCCCUCUUUUUCCAUUCCCACUUUACUCUUCACCAAAGCCCUUAGAUUCUCCUCAACCUUGUCGCCAAAAGUAAUUGAGGACUUAUCAAGAUUGAUGGUCUGCCCAGUAGCAGUUCCAUAGAUAGUCAAAAUGUUUUGCAGGGCACCACUUUGAUCCUCAUCAGCUUUACACACAAACAAGCUGUCAUCGGCAAAGAGCAAGUGAUUUAUUGCAGGACCAUCCGGGGAAAACUUCAUUCCAGAAAUCGUGCCUUGUAAUUCAGCCUUGUUCAAAAGAUGAGUGAGACCCUCCGUACAUAAGACAAACAGAAAGGGAGAGAGUGGAUCUCCCUGUCUUAAACCUCUCUGAGGCACAACCAAACCAUGUGGGCUACCAUUGACCAGGACCGUGUAUGUCACAGAAGUUACACAACUCAUAAUCAAGUCAACCCAUCUUAAUUCAAAACCUAGAGCAAGUAGAAGGUGACGCAAGUAGCUCCACUCCACACGAUCGAAAGCUUUAGAAAGAUCAGUUUUUAUUGCCAUAUACUCUUUAGACAUAGAACCAUGAGUUCUGAGAGCAUGGACUACUUCGUGAGCUAUAAGUAUAUUGUCAGAAAUCAGGCGGUCUUCCACAAAGGCAGAUUGUGUAGGAGAAACAAGAUCAGCGAGUAUCAGCUUUAAUCUUGAAACCAAUAUCUUGGAAAUAACCUUAUACAUCACAGAGCACAGGCUAAUAGGCCGCAGGUCGGCCAUGACUCUGGAAUCUGUCUUCUUGGGAAUAAGACAAAUCUGAGUAAAGUUCCAUUCUUUAUCAAAAACACCUUCAUUGAAGAAUCUGAGAACUUCCAAAGUGAGCUGGUUCCCAACAAUAUCCUAGUAUUGUUGAAAAAAGAGUCCUGUCAUGCCGUCUGCACCAGGAGCACUAGAAGAUUUGAUAGCAAACACAGCAGUCUUAACUUCUUCCUUUGACACAUCAGCCAGCAACAAAAGAUUCAUCUCCUCAGAGACUCUCGGGUGGAAAUCCUCAAAUAGAUCCUGAGGAUUAGAUGGGUAUGAAGAGUAGAAUAAGGACUGAAAGUAAGAGACAGCCACAUCUCCAAUAGAAGCAUCAGACCUAUGAGUGAUACCAAGAUCAUCAACAAGCCUGUCCAAUCCAUUCCUAGUUCUGUCAGCCUUGACCGAAGCGUGGAAGUAUUUGGUGUUCUUAUCACCUGAAUUCAUCCAUUUCUUCCUACAUUUCUGUUUCCAAAAGCUUUCCUCAUCUCUGUGAGCUCGAACCAAGUCUUUAUGCAGCCAAUCCAUUCUACGAAAAGAUGGAAAUUGACUAGCAUGUUCAACCUCAAUAUCCAACUGGAUCCGAUUGAUUCUCUCUUUAGAAUUGAUCUCAUUGGCCCGUUUCCAUUUGCUUAAAGAUUUUCGACAUCUUCUCAAACUCUCAGAGACAGACUGUCCAAAAGAAGAAGAAGAUGCACCCCAAGCAGAUUUAAUAGAUUCAAGAACAAGAGGCUGGUGCAACAAUCUUUUAUCAAACCUGAAAGAACCACGAUAAGAAUCCUGAGAAGAAAGUAAAUGAACCAAAACAGGACGAUGAUCCGAUCCUUUCUUUUCCAAAAACAACUGGUUGGCUGCCGGAAAAGUCUUGAACCAAUCCUUAUUCCCAAAAGCUCUGUCAAGUUUACACUGAAUCCACAGAUCGUUCCUUCGACCUCCCCAAGUGAAACUGUUACCAGAUCCAGGAAGUUCAGACAUAACACACGCAGCCAGCAUAUUAGCAAAAUCUUCAAAGGACCUUUCACUUCUUCUAGGACCUCCUAACUCUCACCAUUGUGAAGAAUCUCAUUGAAGUCCCCUAACAUGCACCAAGAAUCUUUCCUUAGGAGACCAAUCCUAGAAACUUUUUCCCAAACCACGUGUCUGAGCUCACUUCUUGGAUUACCAUAUAUACAAGAGAGAUAGAAUUUAAAAUUCCCAAAAACAACCGCCAUAUCUAAGACAUUCUUAUCAGCAGAAAGGAAGUCUAUAGAGAUGCUCUUCUUCCAAAACAAAGCCAGCCCUCCACAUCUUCCAACAGGAUCCACUGUGAAUACCUUUUCAUAUCCUAACCAAACUUGAAUAUCUACAAGAACGUUCCUUAUGUUCAUCGUCUCCAUCAAGAACAAUAUCUCAGGGAAAUGUUUUUUACGCAUUUCCAUGAGACGAUGAACUGUCAAGUCUUGAGGCCGCCCCAAUCCCUGACAGUUCCAACACAUGAUGCUCAUUAGAUGGUGGACAGUCCCUCAUUUGGGACUACCUUAGGUUUUUUGCGCCUCGCGACUUUUUGACCAUCCUCAUUGACCAUUAUCCCUUUUCUUUUUUCCAACGCACCUUCAGCUAAGCCUUCUUUCUUAGAAACAGUGAGACUCUUUGCUUUUGACCCUACACCUUUCAGUCCUCUUUUAGAGAUAUAGGGUCUUCUUCUUCUGUUAUUGGUAGUUCUCUGAUUAGUCCCGGAUGUACCUGCUGCAAAAGAGCCAGGCACAUAUUCCGUUGAACUAGGCAGAGAAGAGAAAGAGUCUUCAGAGUAGUCAACCAAGGUCGGUCUCCAAUAAUCAUCUCCACAGGCAGAAGACUUCCUCAAGUUAUCUCCAGGCCUCGAAGAAAUUCUAGAAUUGUCUGCUACAAGGACCAGACCAGAACCACCAUCUCUAAGGCCAGAAGAAGAAUCAACAGAAUCAUAGCCAAACACAAUUCCUUUUCCUUUAUUGAGAUCAGAGGACACAGGAGGAGCUGGUUCAAGACGCAAAACAGUUUUUUGGGCUAGAGGAUCCUUCUCAGCCUCAGCCACCGAUUUAAUCACCCUUAGUUCUCUAAUCUUUCGCUCUUCACCAUCCACAACCAGCAAAUACUGACGCAUACCUUCCAAGACUUCAGGAUCAAUCCUAGGACGUCCUAAAAUUGGAUGUAUUCCAACUUGCUCCUCUCGAAGAAUCCCAAACAGAGGAUCAUUCUCUUUAAUCACUAGCGGGGGAGGUAGCUUUACCACUUUCUUGCCCAUCCUUCUAUCCAAAGUCUGAUCUUGUCUUUCACGAAUCAAAAGAGGACAAAGAUCUUUCUCAUGAGUGAGUCUCUGACAAUUAUAACACCGUUUUUGUAUUCUUUCAUAGUAAUACCAAACCGUAGUCGAUUUGCCCUUUGGCAGAUUAAUAACCUUGGACUUCCGCAGAGGCCUCGAGACAUCAAACUUGAUCUUGACCCGCACAAAUCCCUGACUAAUCGGUUGCUCAGGAUCAAAAACAACUUCUGUGACCUGUCCCACUAGUUCUCCUAGAAGCAUAAUGGAGUCUUUCGUAUAAUGAUUAAUCGGGAUAUUCCUGAUUUGAACCCAUACCGGAAUGAAUUGCAGGGAAUCAGGAGCAGGAUCUUCAGUCCAUCUCUCUAAAGCAAUCGCCCAUUCAUUGAAUGUGUGGACUCCUUUCUCCAAAAUUUCAACCAAAUCGUGCUCAGUUCGAAAGAUGAACUGGAACCUCUCGUUAGAAAGCGCGAUACCACGAAUCCUGUCACUCUUCUGCCAUUUCCUUGGCAUAUUCAGGAUUAAAUUAGACAUACUCUGGUGCUCUGGGUUCAAUAAACGACCAACCAAACUGAGAGAAUUCUUUUCACAAGAGCGAUAUUGUGGGAGAUCAGGCAUCUCAAAAGGAAGAUCUUCCUCAUCCAGCGACAGAGCCAUAAGAGCUUUAUCCAUUGCGGCCGACAUGACUGCAAACAACCAAAGAACAAAGCAGUAACAACAACCAGCCGAAUCCAACCAGACGAAACCAACACAAACAACCACACUAGACACCGCCAACCCGAGUCGACAAUUACCCAAACCCACGGAGAGCUUCGAACACUAACAAUCUUCCAGAACCGAAAUAGAAGCAAAUUGAUUAACGCAGCAACCACCAGACGAAACAAACACUAACAGUCAAACCAACCACAAACCAACCGUAGCCGACAAAAGCACAAGACCUCUGCAAACUUCGAACACUAACAAUCUUCCAGAAACGAAAGAGAAGAAAAAUGAGCAGUAAUUGGGGAAGAACAGACGGCUGAAACCCUAGAAAUGAAGNNNNNNNNNNNNNNNNNNNNNNNNNNNNNNNNNNNNNNNNNNNNNNNNNNNNNNNNNNNNNNNNNNNNNNNNNNNNNNNNNNNNNNNNNNNNNNNNNNNNNNNNNNNNNNNNNNNNNNNNNNNNNNNNNNNNNNNNNNNNNNNNNNNNNNNNNNNNNNNNNNNNNNNNNNNNNNNNNNNNNNNNNNNNNNNNNNNNNNNNNNNNNNNNNNNNNNNNNNNNNNNNNNNNNNNNNNNNNNNNNNNNNNNNNNNNNNNNNNNNNNNNNNNNNNNNNNNNNNNNNNNNNNNNNNNNNNNNNNCAUCACCUUUUAUUUGUUAACUUUUCAAAAUCGAUUGUUUCGAUUCAAUGAUUUAACUUUUCACUGUUGAUGUUGGGAUGGGUCUUAAAAUAAAUUUCAGGAUCUCUCCACUGGUGUUAACCUGAAGAGUGAAGACACAUACACAAAUUCAUUAAAUAAAAUUUAUGUGUUCACAAAAAUUGUAAUAUGCCUUGGAGACUCUUUGAAAUAUCCGGACUUUGACAAAUCUAUCUUCUUGGUUAAGGAUUUGAAGUGAGAGGGUUACCUACAUACCAAAGCUACUAAUGUGAAAAGUUAGUGAGAUGCGUUGGUGAAGAUCAUCCUAUUUAGGUUAACUUUCCAAAACAUUUUUAUUUGUAAAAACAAAACAAAUUUAGUUGUUUACUUGUUUAGUGAGUAUUGCUUUAGUAAUAUUCAGUAAUAGUAGAUUCAACAUUUUUAAAUGUAAAAUAUUUUAACAUUAUUAUGAAUUCAUAAAAAUAAAAAAGAUUUUCGUUUUAGAUAAUGUGGAGUAUAGUGUGUUACACAUGCCAAAACUGGACUCCAUUUAUCUUUACCAUCUUUAAGUAGAAACAGAAUGAAUUAUCAUUACCAAUAUUGUGCUUGUUACUAGAGGAAAAACUAGAAAACUUAAACAGAGUUGAACCGAUUUAAGUCAAAAAUAUGAUUCAAAAGAAAAAGAAACGUGGAAGCCCCCUUGGCCCAUUGGUUGAUCAAGGAUUGAUUAAUGCUUCUACACCAAGAGGUCUGGGGUUCGAGUCCCAGAUAUUGCUAUUUAUUAACAAAUUUGCAGAUUAAUGGAGGCAAGUGUGCAAGAGAUCUCCAGCGAUGUACAAUUAUAGCCGUUCGCCAGGAUUCUACGCAGAGAAGGAAGUGUCGCUAGGUCGUGGAUCAUUGAAGGUAUUCAUCAAGAUCACGAAGAAGAUAGUGUAGUCUGUCGUAGAUCUAGUAAGGGUCGGAAGGAAUUGUCAGUUGUAGAAUCGUCUAUGUAACAGUUCUCAUAAUUUGCAAUUAAUAAUAAAUUUAGACGACAAAAAAAAAAAAAAAAAGAAACAAAUUAAUUCGUUUUCUAAAUCCCUAUAUUCGAACAAAACUGAACAUAAGUUACCAAACGUUUUCUUAAAACAAAACCUUUACACUAAUUUUGUUACUAUGUUCACUAAACCAACAAGGAAAAGAAAAACCAAAGAUCACAUAUAAAAUUACAAAUACUUCAUAAUUUGACAACAUGAAAUACAUUUUUAUUGUUUAUGCGUAAUCAUCAUACCAUUCUUCAUCAUUAGCAUCCAAAUAUUCUUCUUCUUCAUCAUCUAUCUUACCUGGUCCAAGCGAUUCGACCGGGCGAGAAAGGAUUGGAAUGGUUCUUGCCUCACCAACUAUCUUCAUAAUCUCCUCUACUCUUUGAGGAGAAAAGUUAAUAAGAUUAACAUUCCUUUGGUAAUAAAUAGCUUGUGCUGACUCCUUUAGUUCUCUUGGCAAAUUCUUUACGAACCAUGCAUGACUCUUAAUCUCUUUAAGCGUACUUCUCUAUAAUAGUUACAAAACAACAAACAUUUAAAGAAGUUGAUUAGCAGAUAAACAAUAAGGUUAAAAAUCCAUCUAUACUUACAUGUAACGGAUUGGCAACAAAUAUACGAGAUAAUAACUUUCUGCAGUCUUCUGAUAUGUGAACAUAUCCUGGAAUCUUGUACUGCACAGCCAUUAUUUUCUGCAAUUUCCAACCCAAAAAUGACAUAUGAUUGUGUGAUUAUAUAGAUGAUCACUACGUUUAUUUUAUUUUAUACAUUAAAAAAAUACCUGAACAGUUUUUCGGAAAUUGCGAGGGUCUUUAGGGUCUUCGAAAGGAUAAGCUCCUACUAACAUAACAUAGAGUGCCACUCCACAAGACCACACAUCAACUGACUGUAGAAAGUUUAUAUAAAUCAAACAACCUCAAGUUAUAUUGUAAAUCUGUAACCAAUAAACAUUAGUAUCAUUUUUAUUUUAUUUCGAACAAAAAAUCGUGACCUCGAAUUAAAUUUCCUCCGACUAAGGAGUAGAACAUGUUCAGGUUCGAAUUCUGGUUGUUACAUAGUUUUUUGUAUGAAUAGUGGGAUGUAAAAAUAGGAAUGCUGAUCAUUAAAAUUUUUCUUAAAGAAGUCUUGGUUUAUUUUGUUAUACUUAUGUUUAUUUGGAUUUAAAUUUUGUUUUUUCGAAUUAAAACAAAUUUUGAACAGAAAUUAUCGCUUCCAAAAGGUUGAUCUAUUGCUAUUAGACUGCCACACAUUUGGUAGUAUGUUUUUCAUUUAGUUACACUUACAGUUGGUCUAUUCGAAAUGGACAAUUGUCCUCUUAGCAAAGUAUAUUGAUAACUUUAAAGGCAACACCACGAAAUAUAAUUGUGCAAGUUACUUCCCAAAACAAAUAUUAAGUUGACCAAUGAACAUUUUGCUGACGUUGGUUAUUUGACAGUGGCCAUUUAAUUUGAAUAGAUAUUGGAUAAAGUCGAUAUAUAGUAGUAUACAAUUUACCAUAGAAGACUAGUAACAAAUGUCAUGUGAAGUGGAUAUAGGAAGCAAGCUAGCUUUUGUCGUUUACUACUCUUUUUCCAUGAAUUAUGGUUUUAUAACUAUUGAAAGUGGAAUGUCCACCUAAAAACACUAUUGAAAGUGGAAUUCAGACUUGUAAAUAUCUUUGUUAUUAGAAAAAAAAAACAAAAAUAUAUUCAUUAUUAUUAAAAAUGGAAAUAAUUUAAUUUACCUUUCCAUCGUAUUCCGAUCGACAAAAAACUUCCGGUGCUAUAUAUGCCGGAGUUCCCACCGUUGAUUUUGGGUUGGAAUGCAGAACAGAAGACUGUCCAAAAUUUAGAAAUUAUUAUUAUACAUUCAGAAGUUUAGAUUUUAUGUUACAAAAAUUGAAAAGAAAUGAACUAAUAAAAAUAAAAUAAAAACCUUUGAGUAGCCAAAAUCACAAAUUUUUAAACGUGGUGCUGGGCUUCCAUCAAGCAAUGUAUUUUCUAAUUUCAGAUCUCUAUGGCAUAUUUUCUGCAAUAAUAAAAAUUUUCAUUAAUAAAACUCACAACACAACUAUUAUAUAAUACAAUUUGGUGUGUACAAUCAAUUUACCAUGGCAUGUAAGUAAUGGACUCCACAAAUGAGUUGUUGAAAGAAAUAUCUUGCCUGCAAGUAAAAUAAAUAAAUUAAUUGAUAUUAAUGAGGGUAUAAUGAAUCAAAAAUGUGGUAACUAAAAUUAUCAUCUUAUUUUCGAUAAAAUGUAUGUUGUUGACAAAAAAAAAAACAAGAAUUUCAUUUCCAAACCUCAGCUUCACUAAAUCGACCCGCGCUAGAUAUCCGAUCAAAUAGUUCUCCUCCAGCUGCGUACUCCAUUACAAUCCCAAGAUGUGUCGGAGUUAGAACAACCUAAAUCAUCAACACACCAAGUUUCAAUAUAUUUUUUAUUAGCGUCAAAGUGCCAUAUUUUUUGAAGUUUCCUAUAUCGAAUAAAAUCUUUGGACCUUUCACGAAGUUAGAAACGAGUUUUAGGAGAAUCCGAAUUCAAAGUCAACGACGAGACAGGUUUUUGAAUUAUGUGAACUAAGAGAUUCGAGUAAAGGACAAAAAUAAAUAACCUAAUAUUCACUUCUUUAAUGAACUAAAAUAUUUCACUUGCCUCUUUAAACCGAACAAUAUUGGGAUGGUUGAGAGCUCUAUGAUUGAUUAUUUCUCUUGCAACGUUCUCAUCUAUCUGCAUCAAACAACAAGUUUGGUAACAACCUCAAAGUUCUUAGUAUCAGAGAAAAGAACAAACAAAAAAAAAAAAAAUAGUAAAAAAAAAAUAACUAAAAACCUUAUAGCCUCGAUCGAUGAAUUUGACAGCCACAAGCUCGUUUGUUUGCUUAUUACGCAUAAGCCGAGCCAAACCGAAAUUACCAAAUCCCAAAUCCUUCACCAUCUCAUACUUCUCCAUCGUUACAACUACUUUUUUGUUCUCACUUCCUUAAAAUGGUCCUUUAAUAUCUUUUUUUUUUUUUGAUGAAUCUUCUCUUCCAAAAUAUCUUUAGAGACUAGAGAUAUAUAUAUAGAGAGAGAGUGGGAAAGAACGAAGUUAUUAAAUCUCACACACAAAAAAAAAGUAAUUUAGUUUACACGUAGCAAAUAUGACGAAUACUCGAAUAAAAGUGUUGAAACUUGAAAGAGCUUUUCAGGAUACCUAAUAGACAUUUCUUAAGUCUACUAAGCUAUGGACCCACCCAUAUAUAUAUAUCAAUUUUUACCUCUACAAGUAUCACUUUUACUAUUUCUUGUAUGGGUUUAAAGAUACUCGAAACUGUUGAAAUUUACCUCUCAAGCAAGAUUAGAUCAUUGGAUUGUGGUUUUGAAGUUUUGAAUAGGCUGCAUACGCGUCACCGUUUACAUGGAUGUGGUAUUCAUAUAUCUCACAAUUCUUCUCCUUGGUUCACGAUUACAUAUUAUUAAUUAUAGUCUCACAUAGGAUCAGAUGAAACUCUAAUGACACCAAGAACAUCUUACAAGGUUCAUAUGACUACUUGUAUCGACUAUCGAGCAAUUGAAACGAUUUUCAUCACUCAAAAACAACUUAAAGAUCAAUGAACCAAAAAAAACAAUCUUGAUAAAUUCAGUUCGUAGAAUUUAGUUGUUGCUGAAAGAAGAAGCUGAUAUUGUUCCAUCACUUAAACAGAGACAUGGAAAUCUUCAUUGUGUUGGCUUUUGAUUCUUUUUCCUUUUUCUCACAUAUACGAUUAACUCCCUCGAUGUACUGGAAGUAUCUUCGGCUUCCGCUUCCACUUCCACUAUUUCUUUACCUUGUGACACAUUUUGAGUCUCCUUCGUUUUCUUCAAAAGAACCAACAUCAAUCUCAAUCAAAUCCACCAUGAACAUCUUCAAAAAACAACGAUCAUUAAACAAACCUUCUUAUUUAAGCGAUGUGUAGACAUUAGCUCAUAGAAUUUCCGCAUCAUCAUCUCUUCUUCCACCUAAACAACAAAUGUACGUGAGAUUGAAAAGAGCUAAUGUACACUAAGUUUCAUCAACAAACCUCGAGUUUUUGAAGUUCUUGAGUCAUGGUUUUACGAGUUUCUGUGAGCAAUUCAUUUUGCUUCUCCAAAUGGCUGUUGAUGUGCUGCUAACAACAGUAAAUCAUCAUACGCAUACACACGAAAAUAAGCGUAAAACUGUAACAAAAAGACGCACUUUAAUAGAUCGUCGGUAUGAUUAGGAUCCAUGUUCACAAAAUGAUCAACUUCUUCCUAUACUGGUCUUCAGCUGAUCACAAUGAAUCAAAAUUUCAUGAGAAGAUAAUUGACAAAAGCAUAUAAAAAGCACUGAUUCAUCCACACACAUAUCACUAGAGAAGAUAUGAUUCUAAAAAUCUGAAGGGUAUGAUCACAAAUUCGAACAACAGCAAAACCCAGAUAAUUAUAUCAUUCAAAUUAGCUGAUUAAAGGAAGAAACAUAACGAACCAAACAAACAUGAGAACAAAAAAACACAGAUUAAGAAAAGGAAUAUCUUACUUAGACAAUUCGUCGAGCAACUGGUGUGCAUAUAUAGAUAAAUUAUCAAAAAGGAAGUUCUUUUAUUAGUAAAAAAUCUUGAAAAUUCAAGUACGUACCCUUUCGUCGAAUUCUUAUAACUUCACCACCAAUAACAACACUUGACGAUUGUCUUCUUCUCUCUCACACACUCGUUUGUGUCCUGCAAUCUCUCACCCAAAAUCAAGUCCUCUCUUCUACAAUGGAGUUGACUGGGCUAAUGGGCCGGUCCAUUGUACUUUGGGCCGAAAACCAUUUUUUGUGACAUUGUUGGGAAACAAAUUUACGUCCUAUAAAAUAAUUGUCUAAUAUAUACUGUAAAUCAAAUUUAACUUAAAUUAAUACGAGAUUUUUUGCGAAAAAACCCCAAAAACAAAUCUGUGCGGGCUUGACUAAAUGAUUUAGAACAGAAAAUUUCAUACAGUUGACUAAAUGUAACAUAACACACUUGGUAUAGAUAGUUGUAGUUGUAUUUUUUCUUUAAGGGUUCUUUGAACCACUCCAAGAUUUUGAUCCUUGAUUAAAUUUUAAAGUAUGUUAAAAAGUAGAAAAUAUGUGUAUCUCUGACUUCUCUGUUGUUAUGCUUUUCGCUUAACCAUCUUUAUAGAAAACAUACAAAAAGAUUUGAUUCGUUUUGUCCUUUGAAUAAAUGUUACCAAGAAAUUCUGGUUACUGCAGAGAACUGCUUAAAACACUUAUUUUUUUCCAUUAUUUUUUUCAUUCAUCACCCAAAUCACAAAGAUGCAACCAUUGGAUUCGUUUUUUUUUUUUUUUUUUGCCGUAGUCAAAAAUCUUGGGUUUAUUUUUUAACAUUACACAAUGGGCAACCAAAAAGAGGAGUUCAUGUGCUAAGCACUUAGAAAAAAAAAAGAGUUAAAAAAACAAACAAACAAGCGUGGUGUUUGGGUUUUCGAGCCUUGAGAGGUUGGUGGGUGUGUUGUUGUGAAUCUCUAAGUUUUCUCUGUAAAUUAUAUAUUUGUUUACAUGUAUAUAAAACAAUCUUUCUUGUGAAGUGACCUUAGUCUAGUGGCAGAUGAUAAGUCCACUGAUGGACAGGCCCCUUCCCCCCAGGGAUCGAAUCCCUCCCCUUACAAUUUGUAGGGAUUAGGCUAAUGGGCCGCCCAGUUGUGGCCCAAGGUUGCCAAAAAAAAAAAAAAAAAAAAAAAAAAAAAAAAAAAAAACAAUCUUUCUUUUUAAGUAACCCUUUUAAGCUUUCUUGAGAGCAAGAUUGUGCAUAGAUCUCUUCUUAGCUUUGUUUCUCUUUUGUGUUUAACGAUCUUGAAAGUCUUGUAACUUCUUAAAAGAGAGACAGAAAAAAAUGAAGUUUAUGAAACUUGGAACCAAGCCUGAUUCAUUUCAAUCUAAAGGAGACAAUGUUAGGUUUGUAGAAAACAGAUAUUUACCUCUAUGUCUCUUUAAGCAAUGUUUUUCUUAGAAAUUGUCUGUUUUUUGGCUCUUAGGUAUGCAACAACUGAGUUAGAAACAGAGAUCAUCAUCAUCAUAGGCAAUGUCAAAUUCUAUCUGCAUAAGGUAUGCAAACAAAAUCUACCUUUUAAAACAUCAAAGAACAAGCAAAAGCAAGAGUGUUUAUGUUUUGUGUGUGUUUUCAGUUCCCAUUGCUGUCGAAAAGCGGAUUCUUGCUGAGACUCAUAGCAACAUCAAAAAAUGAAGAGGAGAAGAAGAACCAAAUUGAUGAGAUUGACAUAUCAGAGAUUCCUGGUGGUUCUGUUGCGUUUGAGAUUUGUGUCAAGUUCUGUUACGGCAUCACGGUUACUUUAAACGCUUACAAUGUAGUAGCAGCUCGUUGCGCGGCUGAGUUCUUGGAGAUGAAUGAAACGUUUGAGAAAAGCAAUCUUGUUUACAAGAUUGAUGUUUUCUUGAACUCAACCAUCUUCCGUAGUUGGAAAGAUUCUAUAAUUGUGCUUCAGACCACAAAAGAUCUCUUGUCUAAUUACUCAGAGGAGCUCUUGAAGCGUUGUCUUGACUCUAUUGCUUCUACAGCUUCGAUAGACACGUUGAAAGUCAAGUGGUCUUACAGUUACAACAGGAAGAAGUAUUAAAAUAUAAGAAGAAGUAGAAAGGAGUCAAGGCCGAAGUCAUGAAGUCAAGGCCGAAGAUCUCCAAGCUUGACCUUUGGUCCUUAUUGUCCCGACGCUCAAGCUUGCGGGGGAGUAUUGAACCAAGUGAAGAGAAAGAUCUCCAUGAGAUAGCCGUGCAAAGCUCGGGUCACUUCAAGGUAUCAAGGCCGGAAGUGCAAAAUUGGUGUAAAGUCACCGAGACACCAAAGUGCAAAAUUGGUGUAAAUUCAUAAGACGAGUCAAGGCCGAAGAUCUCAAGACAAGGCCGAAGACGAGACACCAAUGUGCAAAAUUGGUGUCAAAGUUAUCAAGACCCAAUGUGCAAAAUUAGUGUCAAAGUUAUCAUGACCUAAUGUGCAUAAUUGGUGUCAAAAGUAUCAAGACCGAGGAUGCAAAAUGAAGUCUAUGCAUGAAUACAAGAAUGUGCAAAACUCGUGUCACCUAGUGAAGAUAAUAAUGUGCAAGAUUGGUGUCACAUAAGAGAAGCCCAUGAGAGACCUUCUAGAAGACCUAAGAGCCGUUGGAGACAAAGGAAGUAGAUUCAAAUUCAAACUUGGUCUUGGUCAAAGUUGGACCACAACCUUCUAGAAGCUAUUUUGAAUUCAAUGGUGGAGAUUUAAAGAGAGAAAAGAAGGGCUAUGAUUAAAGGGAAUUGUGAGACAUCUUAACCUAGUUCUCCUUCUAUAUAAAGCCUUGUAAUCUCAUUGUAAAGGUUAACACAUCAAUAAGAAAAGACAAGCUCUUAUCAAUUUCGUGUAGCUCUCUCUUCUUUACUUGUGUUCAACCAAAGUGUUACAAUGUAGAGAGAUAGUGUUACACGAUUUAGGGCUGCCUCUAGGCAGCCUAUUGCUUGUCAUACUACUCUUAAAUACACCUUAAACUCUUCUUAAUCUCUUAUUUAUGUUGAUUACUCUAGCUAAAUGAUUCAUAGAUUCGUUUCUCUCUAAGUACACAAACCUCUAGUGUUGUGUCACUUCUCACGAAUCUAGCUUCAUACUAGAGAUAGUUGUCUUGCUAGGAUCGAUUCUCUCCAUAGAGAUUUUGGUUCUAUCAAGCUAUAUUGGUGUGGAUUCCAUCACAAGUUGAUGGUCUCUUCCUCUUGAGAAUGAGUUCCCUUUGUGUGGAUAAACUGAGAUUCAAUCACCAAGUGAUUGUUUACUCUUUCUUAUGAGCUUAGUCUCUUCAAAUCCAACAAGAAGAAGCUUGAGAACGUGAAAAAACCAGAAGAUGCGGUUCCAAAAGACUGGUGGGUAGAAGAUUUAUGCGAUCUUCAUAUGGAAUUGUAUAAACAAGCCAUUGAAGCAAUCAAGGCGAAAGGGAAAGUCCCGAAUACCGUUAUUGGAGAAGCGUUACACGCUUAUGCAAAAAGAAGAAUAGCUGGUUUUAGUAAAGGCUCAAUGCAAAUCGUUGAUAAAUCUUUAACUGAUACAAUCAUUGAGCUUAUACCAGGUGAGAAAAGAAGUGUUUCUUCUAGUUUCUUGACCAAGUUACAUCGAGCAUCGAUCUUUCUUGGAUAUGAAGAAACAGUGAAAGAGAGGUUAAAGAAAAGAAUCAGUGAGCAGCUUGAAGAAACAACAGUGAAUGAUAUCUUGAUGUAUGAUUUGGAUAUGGUGCAGAGCCUAGUGAAGGAGUUUAUGAACCGUGAUCCGAAAACUCAUUCGAAAGCAUCUGUUGCAAAACUCAUAGAUGGAUACUUAGCUGAGAAAUCAAGAGAUCCUAAUCUUCCUCUUCAGAACUUCCUCUCUCUCGCGGAGACACUCUCUAGCUUCCCAAGACAGUCUCAUGACGGGUUAUAUCGCGCCAUAGACAUGUUUCUCAAGGUAAAACAAGAUCCAUAUUCACUUGUAGUUUCUCAUAAAGAUUCUUGAUUUUUAAUGGGUUUUGAUUUGGAAAUGUUCAGGAACAUUCGGGUGUUAGCAAGAGCGAGAAGAAGAGAGUAUGCGGGUUAAUGGAUUGCAGGAAACUAUCAGCGGAAGCGUGUGAACAUGCGGUGCAGAACGAGCGUUUGCCAAUGCGAGUGAUAGUGCAAGUUCUCUUCUUUGAACAGCUCAGAGCCAAUGGUUCAUCAACAGGAUACAGUACUCCUGAGCUCACCACAACGACUCUAAACACUGAGGAUGAUGAAUGGGACCAUGAGAAAGAGUUUUGAUCUCAACAUUAUUGAAUCUUUUAUCAUAUGUUUCUUCAGAACUUUACAUCAAACUUUGAGUUUUUCCUGGUUAUUGUUUUUCUGAAUUGGAAACAUUUUGGUCAUGACCUUCGUAAAUGGGUCAGGUAGUAAUGGGUUUUGUGUCUGGGCUUGAAGCCGUUCCCAUCUCAAUUUUUAAUGAGACUAAAAUCAGAGAAAACUCUCAUUUGUAUUUGUCCGUAACCCAAAAGAAAAACCGCAAUUAUCUAUAAACCAAUUAGGGGUCGAUUGGUUGAGAUUUUUACGGUAAGCUUUAUUUUAAAUUCAUGACUGUAAAAUUUAUGAUUUUAGAAAAUAAAUCGUAAUUUUUAAGAAAAUAAAGUCAUAUUUUGUUAGCUUUAAAAAAAGUUGCCAUUCUAAAAGUUGCCAUGAGUAUUUCCCUCCAUGGUCUAUGUUAAUUUUACAAAUGGUAAACAGAAAAAAGAAACAAAUUAUCUAUAUUAUUAAAACUGAAGUAUAUUUGACAAAGAAAGUUUGGAGUUGGAACUUAUUUAAAGGCAAUGAUAUUGGCAUUUAUUUAUUUUUAAAUUAUUCUCUCAAGAAUCUUUAUCAUAUAUCUUUAGUAAAGUAAUGGUUACGACGGAAUUUAAAUUAAAAUCAAUUUUAAUUCGAUUUUGAUUCAUUUAUUUAUUUAAGAAAAAAUUAUUUUUUGGAAUAUGUUGUGAUUCGAAUUUUUAAAAAUAGACAUACUUUACUCAAAUAUGAUAAAUAAACGUUUUAAAAAAUAAUGUAAAAAUUGUAUUACAACAUAAAAAUUAGCGGGAUGGUGGAAAUUUAUAUUAGAAUAUAUAAUAAAAAAAUAUUAUACUAUUUUAGUACUAUGAAUAUAAAAAACUAAAAACAUAAUCUUGUCAAAAUUUUAAAAUAUACUAAAUACUAAACUAUGAUAUAACUUAUAAUGGAAACCGUUUUUGUGGAAAAUUCAAAAAAGGAAAACAAGCAUGUGGUAGUCACGUGCUACGGUUAGGGUUGUUGCAACAAAAGAAGGAGGGCAAUAACGUCUUUUCUCUGAUAACUCAAUCAGUGUCUUCUUCUUCUUCAGUUUGUUACAGAGCGAUUAAGAGAGAGUGAGAGAUUCUUGGGGUUGGGCAGUGAGAGAGAGAGCUUGAGAACAAGUUUGUAAAGGAUACGUUAUACACCAAGUUUCUAGUGGAUUCUGGAGAAGAUUCUCCGGCGAGAUGUAGGGAAUCCGGCAAGGAUCCCGAACUCGUUAAAUCUGUGUGUUCUUGCUUUUGUUCUUCUUUUGAUUCAUUCCGAGAUCUCAUCACAAAGAUCGAUUCAAGUAUUGGUGAGCUCAGUUCGAUUAUAAACCUUCACAAAUUGGUAUCAGAGGCUCUUCGAUUUCAUGGAAGACGGUGAAGUCGUGAAUCGGAGGAUUUAAAUUAUUCAACAUCGCGACUUAGGAGAAGAAAAUAAGAAGAUGUUGCGAUGUCAAGAACGAUGGAAGAAGUGAACUUGUGACUGUUCUUGGAAGAAGACGUGGUAAGUUGAAGAAAGAAAAUCAAUGGAGUUAUCCCAAUCAGAUCAAAUGAAUGAUUUCUGGUUUGUGAAAUCAGUUGAAUCGUAAGUUAUUCUCUCUCUAAGAAUCAGAAAUUUGACAUCUAUGUUAGUUCUAGUUCAAGAAUUUGCUGGGAAAUCACGACAAGUAUAAGAUCGUUGUAGUCUGGAUCGAAGCACAAGACAUCAUCAAGACUCAAAACUUUGUGAAAUUAAGUAUGCAUCCGCUGCAAGUCGCAAGGUUAGUUGUGAUGUUAUGAAAUCUUCAAGUCUGUAAAGAAAAGAGCCAAGAUUUGUUAAAGCACAAGUUUGUGUGCAAGGUUUUUAGCUAAGAUUCGAAAGCAUCUGUUGUGGGAGUUUUUUUUAUUCAAACUUGGGUUCAAGAUUAGUAAAGAACAGUUAUUGGAAGCUCAUAAAAGUCUAAGAACUAGGGGACGCCUUGGUUGCUUGAUUGGUAUAUGGGUUCAUGGUUGUUUGGACAUCAGGUUAAGGCUCAGCAUUUAAAGACAGAAAUUGCAGGAUUAUUCAGGAAUAAUCAGGGAGUUUGCUUAGUAAAGUAAGUUGAUGAUUUAGAGGAUUUCAAGUAUUUGCCAGAGUUUUGAGAAAUAGUUUGUCAAAAGUUAAGUCUCAGAGUUAGUUAUCAGAUUCUUAAAAGAUCGCAAGGACUCCAAGUAUAUGGUGAUCAAAGGUUUGAACAUAGGUCAUCAAUGAGUGAGUGGCAGCUAGGACAAUCCAAAGAUGGAGAAAAACAGGGACACCAAGAAGUAACAAACAAAUUCUCAACUAAAGAUGGAGAAACAUCUUGUGUAAGUAAAUCAAGAUGUGACCGGCAUAAGCCAGUAAGAAUAAAACCAAGGAAAUGUAAAUUGGUUAUUGGUUCUUAUGGCUCAAGUCUGAGAGUCAAGAAGAAAAGUGGAUCAGCUGGUUAUAGGAAUAUCGAGACAUGAAGACUCAAGUUUAAAGGCAUUGUUCGGGUGUUUCUACAGCUAUAACAAGUUAACAGUUGGUCUGUUGGUCUAUAAGACAGACUAAAGUAUUCAAUCUGAAAUCAUAAAAUCAGAAUGAGAGAGCUUCAUUAGAAGCAAGUGGUUCUUGGAGAGUCUUCUAGAUAUUAAAGAGACUGUUGGUGUAGCUACAAAGUGGAAAGAAUUAUAGAUAUAUCAAGUGUUAAUGUCUAUACAGUCGAGCACACAGAGAUUUAUGAUUGAGAAUCAUAAGAGACAGUGAUGAAGAGGUUGUUAGCUCAGCAAGUUAGAACAAAUGUUGAGAGAUACAAGUAAUUAUGAAAGAUCUAAGUUUCCGGUGGAGCCACUAGUGUUACAGAAAUGUGAUACAUAUUCAUGAAGAUGGUUUGUGAUUCCAUGUGGAGCUAUACAAUUAAAGAGUAUCUCCAGUUAACUUAAGUGCGGAGACAUGGGCUGAGUAAACAGGUUUAUCAACUCAUCAGGUUUGAUUUAUGAGAAGAAAUUAGUUACUGUUUGGGUAUGAUUCAGGUUGGUCAAGUGUGUGUGUUGAAGACAGAGGUUCGAGAACAGGUUAAGAUGUCAGAAAGGUUCAAGCAUAAUCAUGUUGCAACAGGAGUGAAGAAUAAAGUUUUCAGGGGGACUGUUGGAAUAUAAUUGAGUUUCUUAGUAAUGUUUUAAGUUUUAACUGAUUUCAUGCAUUAAGUGACGUGUCUUUUACAUGUGUGAAGAGUUACAACUCUUAGUUUGUGUUGUUUCAUGUUGUGUCUUUCCUAGUCUAUAUAAAGACAUUGUCUGUAAACUACAUUCAGUUUUCAUAUUAAUAAAGUUGUGUUUUCUGAGAAAGAGAAUAUCGUUUCUCAUACUCUGUUUUCUUCCUUAUUGUCUUGAGAAUCAAAGAUCAACACUAACGAAGCGAAGCGGGAGGCUGAGAGGCUGCAGAGGAUUGUACUAGCGAAAAUGUAUAAGUCUGAGGAGGAAUACGCAACGCAAGUAACAGAGGCUGAGCGAGGCCGAGGCAGAGACGCAGUAUCUGUUUGAGAAGAUUAAGCUGCAGGGAUAUUCGUCCCGUCACAGGUGUUGAUGUACUCAAAGAUCUCUGCUUCAAGGAUACAAUCUCUCGCCCAAUCCAAUCCUUGAGGGUAUGAAUUUUAUUUUUCUUUUCUACAACUCUUUCAUUAGCUUUGAGCUAAUCUAACUCUGAUUCUCUGGUAAGAACUCCUUGUUUUGAUUAGUCUCUAGGUAGCAGCAACUUUCAAUCCCUAAACAUCAAUCUCUGUUAGUGCAAGAUAUAUACUCCUAUCUUGACUUUGAAAAUAAAUGUAUAGAUAGUGAUUGUGCUAAACAGAGAAACCAAAAGUUUGGAUAUUCCAUCUUGGAUCUUGAACUCGGGGAACACAUAUAUGGUUUCCAAUGACCUUGAAACUGAUCCGCCGAGUCAAGCAAGACUAAAGCAGAUAAUAUGGAAGAAAAACGAAAGCUCAAGAGUUUUACAAAGCAUUCUUAACACAGCUCAAGUCUCAUGUGAUGUCAGAACAACUUUCGCUGAAAAGCAGCUGCAGAUGGUGAUUUACGGUGAAGGCAGCAACGAGCGAGUCUUAAAGAAUCGGAUUGGUAAUAAGAGUCGGCAACAGGAUCUAUUGUCCUGAGGAGUAGGCUUUUUUUGCAAAAUUGCGAGCAGAUUGUAUAGUGGAAAUGACCAAUUCUUUGACACAUUGGGCAGAUUAUCAUGACAAAGAUUUCUCAAAAUCAAACAUUUAACUUAAUUAAAAGGUUUUUUUUUUUCAAGUCAUAAAUAGAGCAUGGCAAGCUUAAAGUUACAAAACAAUUCGAAAACACAUUGUCCAGGGAACAAAGGAGAAGGAGAUAUUUGCUAGACAUAGGUGAAGAUUUUUAGUUUUGCCUUUUCGAAAUUGAUUGGAGCUGCUUAGCUAUGGCGAGCAAGGUGCAAAGCAUUCCAACCUAUAGGAGCAAGAAACAAUCAACCAUCACCAUCCAUCUAAAUAGCUACUGCUAACUAAUUGAUAUAUACACACACACUAGAGAGAGAAUAAUCAAAAGUAAAUGGACACCGUUAUAUACCUUAAUGGUGUGACUAAGGCAUGGAGGUUGAAGUGGUAACAAUAUCAGACGACACAUUUUCCUGUUAAAUGAUUCCAUAUAUAAGUUAUAAGAGCCUAUAGAUGACACAUCUUUUUCAAUUGCAAAUUAAGGGUAAACUAUAUAACCUGAAUAUCAUCAACUUUGGUCUGAUACUGAUCUGGUCCCUUGGAGUUAUCAAGUUUUUGCAUACAUAUAGAACAAACUGGUGAGGCCAACCUGCAUAAGAGCAAGAACACUACCAUUAGCGUAUAUCGACAAUAAAAGCCACACAUUAGAAGAAAGAUGAUAAAAAUGAAUGUAUACUUUUUGGCGGUGCGACGCUUUUCACGACGACGAGAACGAGAGUCCGCCGCAUUUAAUACCUGUUGUUAUAAAUUUUACAUAGUUAAGAAACAAAUCAAUCAAUAAUAAAAAUUAAAAAAUGGCCCUAGGGACGACAUAAAUUACUUCUCAAUUCCGAUUUUACAAAAUCAAACCCCAAAAUGAAAAGAAAUUCAAUAACCUUCGUUAUCCUCUCAUGCCGAUCCUUUCUCCCUCGCAUUGUGUUUCGCAUUGCUGUGCCUCCUUCAAAACUCUCCUUGUGGGUGCUGGAAACCCUAACAAAUUAUAUAUAUAUAUAUAUACAAUUUGGGCCUUUAUAUAAAACCUUCAACUCCUUAUCCGGCCCAAACUACAUCUUUCUCUGAUUUAUUACCAACAGAAACUAAAUACAACAACUUAUGAUUAUACUAGACUCAUGGGUUGCAAGGAUUUUUGAUUGGUAAGUUUGUUUUCAAAUUUAAUUACCUUUAUUUAUUUAGAGUGUCUUUUUGAUUUUUUUUUCCUAAAUAUAUAAUUUGCAUGAAGAAUUAUAUAAGUAUAAUAUUUUGUAGAAGAAUACUUAUGUGCUACCCUCAAAUAUUACACGCAAUGAAAAAAUGAACAUCACAAUGUCUAACUGAUGCGGCGGAUAAAUACGAAAGAGAGGGCUCAAGUAUCGAUGGAUCAAGAGUCUUCGUCCGUAGCUUCGAUUUCAAGCUUUCUUGCGUAUCAAUGGAUCGAAAGAAAGAAGAAUUCCAAAACUUGUAUGAGAAAAGUUUCUCUUUUAUUAAUCAAAAACAACCAACCUUCUAGAAUACAAGAAGUAGAGUACUUAUAGAAAAAAAACGUCAAAACCCUAACGAAGGCUUGGUGCUAAAGCAACCAAAUAACCGACGUAGCAAAAACCAAAAGAAAGCCCAUAACUAAAUUAAGACUGAAAGCAUAAACGGAAGCUCAUUAAAAGAGAAGUAAUAGAUGUCGCUACAUUAGGUCUCCCGGGGUAAGAAGAAAAUUCGUCCCCGAAUUUUCAUCGACAUCAGAAGCAACAUAAGGAACCAAAUGCUUCACAUUAAACACAUUGGCGGUGUUCAUAUGUGGUGGAAGGCGGAGGCGGUAAGCAUUGUUAUUGAUCUUGGCUAGAAUCUCAAGGGGACCAAUCUUUCGAGACUUGAGCUUGUUGUACGUGACGGGUUUAAAACGAUCCUUAGUGAGGACAGCCCACACCAAAUCACCAACGUUAAACUGGACAUCCCGACGAUGAACAUCCGCAGCAGCCUUGUAUUUUUGGGAAGAAGCUUCUAAGUUCGUGUGAACUUUCUCAUGGAGCUCAGCAAACUGAUCGACAAAAUCACAUGCACGACCGUGAAAACGAGUACGAUCCGGAGAGACACCAAGAUCUAACGACACUCGAGUUAACAAACCAUACACAACCUGGAAUGGGCUAAAUCCCGUGCUCCUGUUCACAGCUCGAUUGUGGGCGAAUUCAGCCUGACAAAUAACAUAAUCCCAUGACUUGAUAUUAUCACCAACCAAACAACGCAACAAAUCUCCUAACGUCCGAUUAGUAACUUCCGUCUGGCCAUCAGUUUGUAGAUGAUAGGCCGAACUCAUAUCUAAUUUUGUGCGUAGAAGACGCCACAAAGAUCACCAAAAAUGACUCAAAAAUCGAGAAUCACGGUCUGAGACGAUAGAUAAAGGAAGCCCAUGAAGCUUGUACACUUCGCGAAAAAACAAAACGGCAUCUUGAACCGCAUCCGUUGUCUUCUUGCAAGGUAUAAAAUGAACCAUCUUCGAGAAACGAUCAACCACAACAAAUAUCGAAUCAUUACCGCUUGAGUCCGAGGUAAUCCCAAAACAAAAUCCAUGCUUAUAUCUGUCCAAGGCUGUGUCGAAAUAGGGAGAGGUAAAUAGAGACUCGGAUUAGUGGCCUUACCUUUAGAUGCUUGACAAAUGCCACAACGAGUGAUGAAGCGCUCCACAUCGCGUCGCAAAGUGGGCCAAAAAUAUGAGGAACUAACAAGCUUCAACGUACGAUCUCGACCAAUGUGACCCUCUCCAUGAAGCUCGCGAAUGAGCUGUAACCGUAAGCUGCCUUCAGAGAUACACAAUUGAGCACCACGAAAUAAGAAACCAUCGAAGAACAAGUAGACGUCACCGAGUCCAUCUUUUGCGUCGCUCCAAAUUUUAGAAAAGAAUGGAUCAAGAGGAUAAAGGUCUGGCAAUGAUUCAAACCCAGUAACCGAAGCAUGUAACAUUGUUAAAAGGGAGUGGCGUCGGCUUAACGCAUCAGCGACCUUGUUAAGAGUGCCGGCCUUGUGUUUUAUCACAAAGGUAAAUUGUUGUAAAUAAGCAAACCAAGAUGCAUGGUGGGACGAAACCUUGUCUUGAGAACCCAUGUGUUUGAGAGCAUCGUGGUCCGUGAAUAGAACAAACUCCUUAUGAAAAAGGUAAUGACGCCAAUGUUUGAUUGCUUGAACAACGGCGUAAAGCUCAACAUCAUAAGUGUUGUACCGUCCUCUCGCUCCUACAAUCUUUCACUAAAGAAAGCGAUUGGUCGUCCCAAUUGACUUAACACCACACCAAUACCUGUUUUAGAUGCAUCACAAUGAAGCUCAAAAGCAACAUGAAAGUUUGGUAACACUAAAACUGGUGUCAUGAUCAACUUGGUUUUGAUCGUAUGAAAUGCAUUAUCCGCGUCUUGUGUCCACACAAAUUGUGUCAUCUUCAUGCAGUCAGUGAUCGGCGACAUAAUGCUGCUAAAAUGAGGCACAAAACGGCGAUAGGAAUGAGGCCAUACCAUGAAAACUGCGGACAUCGGUAAUAGAUUUCGGCACUGGCCACGACUCGAUCGCGCUUACUUUAGCUGGAUCCACUUGGAGGCCUUGUUUCGAGACAAUAUAACCGAGGAAAAGAACAUGCUCCACUCCAAAAGCUAAUUUUUUAACAGCCCCAAACAACUUGUCACGCCGUAGAACAAGAAGAACAUUACGCAAAUGAACGAGAUGCUCUGCAAGAGAUGAGCUAAAGAUUAAAAUAUCAUCAAAAUAAACCACCACAAAUUUACCAAUGAACAGGCGCAAUGCUUGAUUCAUAACGCGCAUGAAAGUGCUCGGCGCGUUGGAUAAACCAAACGGCAUAACCAGCCAUUCAAAUAGGCCUUCGCGUGUUUUAAAGGCCGUCUUCCAUUCAUCGCCAGGACGGAUACGAAUCUGAUGAUAUCCACUCUUUAAAUCCAACUUUGUAAAGAUAGACGCUGUCCCAAUUUGAUCGAGAAGAUCAUCAAGUCGCGGAAUCGGAAAACGAUAGCGCACCGUGAUCUUAUUAAUCGCUCUGCUGUCCACACACAUACGCCACGUUCCAUCUUUCUUGGGAAUAAGUAAAGCUGGUACGACACAAGGACUUAAGCUCUCUCGUAAGUACCCCUUGGACAGAAGAUCUUCGACUUGACGACGAAGUUCAUCAUGUUCUGUUGGACUCAUGCGAUAAUGAGGUCGAUUGGGCAACACCGAAUUAGGUGCUAAGUCGAUGCAAUGUUGGAUGUCUCGUAAUGGAGGUAAACCAUCAGGUAACUCGUCUGGAAAAACGUCCUUGAAUUAAUUCAUUCAAUAAAUCAUGAAAAGCAUCGGGAGCAGCAGCAAAAAUCACGUCAACAGCAGGUUUGACGACAAGCACAACGGCGACGUCAACUUGUUGAAAUUCUUCAAAAAUCAAUGACUUAUUAACCAAUAGCACUUGUUGCGUCAGAAUUGUAGAAACAGGAGGCUUCUCAAUGUCUUCGGUCUUGAUAAGAGGAUCAGUAGACGAUUGAGAUGGUAGUAACGUGAUACGUUUCCCUUCGUACGUAAAGGAAUGCGUAUUAGUGAAUCCAUCAUGCAUUGUUCGACGAUCAUAUUGCCAUGGUCUCCCUAAAAGUAAGUGACAAGCAUCCAUUGGCAGAAUAUCACAAUAAACUAAGUCCUUAUAAUUCAAACCGAUAGAGAAAGGAACACGACAACGCCUAGAAACCCGUGUGUCAGUGGUCGCGUUUAACCAAGCCAAUCGAUACGGAGUCGGAUGAGAUUCUGGAAACAAAGCAAGCUUAGCAACGGCUUCUUCAGAAAUAGCGUUAGUACAACUCCCGGAAUCAAUUAUCAUGCGACAAACUUUGCCACGAAUCGAGCAAGUAGACUGAAAAAUAUUUGUUCGAAGCCAAGAUUCCUCAACUCCACCAGGCAGAAGGUGAUUGCGUCGCAACAUUAACAUCGUACCCGUAUCACUCAUCACUUGUUCUGAUUCCUCAUCUGCCUCUUCAUCAUCUUGUUCGUAAGUAUCAUAAACAGGUUCUUCAGUACCAGUUAAGAGACCUCGCCUGUUCGUAUGAGGACAAGAAGACUGACGAUGGCCCUGUUCUCCGCAUUUAAAACACUUAAAUGUAGUAGAGCGUUGUUGACUUGAAGACGCAACACCCUCAGUACCCUCCAGAGGGCGAAUUUGGUCAGGUGGUUUGCUAGCCACUGUCUCAGCUGAGCGGGUUUGGUUCGCAUUCCAAGCAGGUAACUGACUCCGAGGCUGUGUCUCGAUCAAUAAAGCUCGCUGAUGAGCUUCGGACACAGUAAGGGGACAGAAUUGGAGUAGUAUGUUCUGAAUUUGAAGGCGUAAACCACCAAUAAAACGGGACACCAAUUGUUCUUUUGUUUCCGUCAAAGGAUUUCGAGCUAAGAGGGUAAAGAAUUCUGACGCAUACUCAUCCACCGACUUUGUUCCUUGUCGCAAAUUCUAAAAACGUGUAUACAUGGUGCGUGUGUAGUUGUAUGGAAGAAACGAUCGGCGCAUUAGUUUCUUCAUCUUCUCCCAUGACGUGACGCGUUCUUUACCGGCCUUCAAACGCGUUUCCUUUGUUUGUUGCCACCAAGCUGAAGCACGACCACGCAAACGAGUUUCCACCAAGGGUACUCGCAUCGCAUCAGGUACUUCUUUGAACGCCAACAGCUCUUUUGUCGUACUCAACCAAUCAAGAAACUCUUUAGCCUGCAAUCCACCAGAAAAUUCAGGUAAUUCCAAUUUGAAACCAGACUCCCAUCGAUUGUGAGGAGCUCGUGGCGCUUGGAUAAUCGCUUGUUGUGGAGCAGCUUCGCGGUGCUGUUGUUCGCCUAACCGCGCGAACAGAUUGUUACCAAGGACAUCAUCUUCUUCGUUAUUCUCCUCAAAAGCUUGUUCUUCGUGUCCCUGUUGUGCUUGAAAGAUAGCACGAACCGCUGUUUCAACAGAGACACACAUCGUAUCUCUAAGGCUUUGUUGAAAUUCGGUCAUCAUCCCUCGAAACGCAUCGUUCUGCACUUCUAGUUGCUGUUCCAAGUUCUUCUUUGGAGGCAUGGUGAAGAUCGUUUGGCUCUGAUACCAACUGAUGCGGCGGAUAAAUACGAAAGAGAGGGCUCAAGUAUCGAUGGAUCAAGAGUCUUCAUCCGUAGCUUCGAUUUCAAGCUUUCUUGCGUAUCAAUGGAUCGAAAGAAAGAAGAAUUCCAAGACUUGUAUGAGAAAAGUUUCUCUUUUAUUAAUCAAAAACAACCAACCUUCUAGAAUACAAGAAGUAGAGUACUUAUAGAAAAAAACGUCAAAACCCUAACGAAGGCUUGGUGCUAAAGCAACCAAAUAACCGACGUAGCAAAAACCAAAAGAAAGCCCAUAAGUAAAUUAAGACUGAAAGCAUAAACGGAAGCCCAUUAAAAGAGAAGUAAUAGAUGUCGCUACAUCACUAACUGCACCAACAAAAUACUUAUGUGCUACCCUGAUUAGUUUCUUGUCUGGGGAACAUGCAAGCCUUGAUCGGUAUUGGCCAAAGUCUCCCUUUCCUGCGAACUCAUCACUCCACAGUUGACAGUUCUAAAGUUCCAAGAGAAAGAGCAAUUCGUGGAGGGACUUUUUUUUUCUUGAGCAUCCGCUGGAAAUAUACAUCUAGGAUUGUACUAGCGAUGUCAUCGCUAAUAAGACCUAAAAUCUUUUUCUUUCCGCAAUCAACUUGGCAUGAAUUUUGAACGCUAAUCAGACCCGGCCCUAAGCAUAUACCCAAGAAACAUUUGUAUAGGACCUCAAUUUUUGCUUCAGCUUUUUAGGGCCUAUUUUAAAAAAAUUGUAAAGCUUUUUAGGGCUGAGAAUUAGAAAUUGGGGGCCCACGAUUCAAAUAUAUGUCAAGAAUUUAUAUUUUUAUACUAAGAAAUAAAAAACUCAAGUUAUUUUUAUAAAAAAAGCUAAGAAUUAUUUUUUAAGAAACUCCAAAAAUGCCUCAAAUUUUAGUUUUGUAUUGGGCCCCAGAUUUUUCAGGACAUGUCCUGACGUUAAUACAGAAAAACUGUAUUUCAAUGGAAAACUAAGUCACCAAACACAAAUUGAAUUCAUGUUCAUAAAAUACCAAUUCAAAUCUCACUAGCUUGGAUCUUAGAAAAAGAAACAGAUCCCAAACAUAGAUGAGUACAAACCCUAACAAAUCUCAUAGAGAACUAAAGAAGAAGAAGUUUACACAAAUGAUAUUUUUCUGGUUGUUCUUCACAAUUGAUCAUCACUCUCCUUUAUAGCUUCAGCUCACGAUCCCUUCUAAGAGCAUCUCCAAUGGUGAGAGUCUAUGGUGGGCUCUCACCAUUUUUUUAAGAAUAAAAUUUUCAAAUUUAUGAGAUGAGAGCUUUUAUUAAAUUUUUUUAGUUUUGCAAAGUCCAAUAGUAGGUUCUCUUUGUAGGGUUCUCAGGAAAAAAUUAAAUUAUUUUUUUAAUUAUUUUAUUUCAUAAAACUGAAAAAUAUUACAAUCUAUAUAUACAUUUUUGGAUCACAAUUAGCAAAUAAAUCCUGAAGUUGAGAAGUAUUUACAAUGGCAUGCCAUUAGCAUUAAUUAUUUAGAUUUGUUUUAUUUAAGUAAAGAUUUUUAAAUGAAAUUCAUUUUUUCAUAUAUUUAGCAAAAGUCUCUACAAAAUCUUUCUUUAUCUAUUUAAGUAAAAAUUUUGAAAUCAAAUAUGUUCUCAACAAUUUACCAAAAAUUUCUACACAAUCUUUUUAAAAAUCUCGACUUAGUUAACUUCUGAUUUUUAUCUGCAAAAAAAAAAAUUAAUAUUAACGAGUGAUGUAAAAAUCGGGAAUGUUGAUAUUACAAUUUCUUCUACUUUUUUUUUUUUUUCAUAUAAUGAAAAUUAUUUUUAGGGAUAUUUUCUCAAAACCUCUAAAUAAAACAAAAGGUUUCAAAAAAUAGCUUCUCUUUUGGAGGGUCGACCCGCAAAUCCGCAACUUUCUACGGGCUUAUCCGCAUGAACCUGCGACCAGUAGUGGAUAAAAAUAUUAUUCAAAAAAAAUAACAAAUGAUGUUUAAUUUUACGGGACGGGGUUAUAUGGUGCAACAGGUUUAGAUCAAUAUUAAUAUUAAACAAUAUUAAACAAUAUACGAUGGAUGAAAUCCUAGAAUUAAAAAUCAAAAUUUAAUUAUAAAAUCAGAAACACUAAACAAAAUAAAUAAUAUUAACAAAACAAAUACAACUUAAAAUUUUGCAAAAUAAUUUUUUUGUUGUAAAAAAAUCGACCCGCGGUGUACCGCGGGGUAAAAUCUAGAUUUGGAAGUUUAAGGAAGAAAAAUCUUUUUUUAAAAAUAAUAGCUCCGCGGUGUACCGCAAGAAAAAUCUUUCUCUUAAACUGAGGCAAAAAGAAGAAGAAAGCCAAAUGUCGUUUAAGUGUAUAUAACUAUAUAUAGAUAUACCAUUUAAACCUAAAACACAAUUAAUAUACUCAAAACUAUUAAUAUAGAUAUAUGGAUGGUACAUUUAUAAAAUAGGUCGAAAUAUUAUAUUAUACUCUCUAUUAAUAAACAAAACUAAUUAUAUUUAGAUUUUUUAAAAAAAAAUUAUAGCCCCGCGGUGUACCGCGGGUUCAAAUCUAGUUCAUAACAUAUUAAACAUACAAUAAUUUCAAACAUUUGAAAAUAAAUUUGCAAAAAAAAAAAAAAAAACGAUUAGUUAUUCGGUUCAAUCGGUUCGAACAAAGAAACCAGACAAAUAUAAGAGAGUGGAAACAUGCAAAACCUUCGCUGCAGAAAAUUCUAAUCCUAAAGCAAAAAGGAGAAAGAUAACACCAAACUGAGCUACUGUUUCAACCUGUGCUACACAAAAAAUUAUAAAUCAAAUCGUUGUCCAGGCAAUCUUGUACUCAUGAAAACUUCCAAACGUAUAUGAAGACAACAAAAGAUGAACUUUGAAGUAUAAUAAAGCUGAUGUAAGCUACCUGCACCAUUUCACUAACAAAGCUUAACCCGCCCGGUCCAAUGAUAGAUCCAGCCAAUAGAUACCCAGUAAUGACCUGCCAUAUAAGUAGUGUAGAAAUUAAAUAACACUGUCAUGGUUUGAUCAGUUAAGAGCUAGAAAAAUCGUUUCUACAAUGCCGGAAAGCUGGAUACUCAAUGCUAACAAAAUAAUAUUGAAAGUUACAAGCUUUGCAAAGGAAGUGUGUGCGGACCGGUUGACCAGCACAUGCAAAGGCAAUUCCACCACAAGUAGCAGAAACAAUGACGACGACCAAAUCUGAUAUCAACCUACAAAUGUACCGUUUUAAGAGAGAUGCCCCCAACAAAAAACAGUAAGUUAGAUACUAACAAAAUAUAACCGAACGAAGAACUUAUCUUACGAAUGCUAUACUUACUUUAAAUCUAGCUGCAGUACAGGGUCAUUGGAUUUUGGACUGGACAUUAUAAAAACGUUGUCUUGGAUUAAAAUUGCAGCAAAGUCACAUUACGAGAAUGCUUUUACAAACGAUUACAUUUUUCAACAUAUAUAUCACAAAUGACUUGAGACUAUUUAAGCUUACCUUCCUAUCUAUCAGUCUCGGAGUAUCUUCUACGCCAUUCUCAUUAUCCAAAUUGAAGAACGAUCUAGAACAAAAUACUCAUAUGUUAUAGUUUUCUUUAACCUGUGAAACAAAAUUAAAUAACAUCCACUACUUGCACAAAUCGACUCCAAACAGGGCAAUGCAUGCAUCAGAAAAAACUCACUUCUCCUCCUUGGUCUUGGUUUCAUUUUUCUUAGGCUUAACUCGAGCAACAGUCUCUAGAACAGCCUAAUAAGCAUAACAAAUAGCUUAAUGGAAAGAAAAGACAACAUUGAGUAGUGUGCUGCGUAAGAGCAAUCAAACAAAGAUCAAAUCUUGCAACAACAAACCUGUUAAUCAGCAACACUAUUAUUGAAGCUUCCUGGAUCAGGAACUGCAAAAGCAUUUCACAAAAAACGCAUAUUGAAAGAGUUCACAAUUCAUUAAUUGGUAAAAGCCAUUAACCUUGAGAAAUCUAUAAACCUAGAUAGACUAAAUGUGAGCACAAAGCGUCUAGAGUCUAGACCACUUAGCUAAUCAAUGAUAAAUCCCUAGAGAAGGAUCAAUUAUCACAAAAUUGAAAUCCCUAAAGAAAAACUGAUCUCUGAAGACAAAAACCCUAGCUCCACAGGGAACGUAAGAAAUUGAAGAAAUGCAGAACAAUGAAGAUCUAGUGAGAGAGGAACCUUCGUUCUGGUCAUUAUCAGGAAACUCUUUCUCAAGUGCCCGAUCGAUCAUAUCAGCGAAACUAUCUUCCUUAGGUUUGGCACUCGUGGCAUUGGACCUCAAUCGUCGGAGACAAUCGAUUGUCAUCGCCAUCUCUCGCAAAGAAAGAGAGAGAAACAGUCGGGAAAUGAAAACGUGAAAUGCUUCUUUCCUUUCUUUUUUUUUGACGCUUUUUUUGUUUUUUUUGACAAAAAAAAUCGACGGCUGAGAAUACGCCACGUCAUCGUCUCUCAUACUACUCUAUAUUUCUCUCAAGAGAGCUGUCUCUCUUCAUAAUUCAUAGUUUUGAUUUAUUUUUCAACAUUUUUUUCAAGAGAACCUUGAAAGAGAACCCAAUAAUGCAUCCAUUGGAGAUGCUCUUAGAGCAUCACGUGUCACUAAUACUAAUUCCAAUCAUCUUCUUCUAUUUCUCCACGUCAUUUAUGCAACACAUUUGAGAGUCUCCUUGAUCCAUUUUCCUAUAUCAAACGCCACCAACUGAAACAGAAAAACCAGAAAUAUUGAAUAUAAUAAAGAACAAUAAUAUUGGCUCAAAAAAUAAAGGGUAAUUCUCUAAAAUACCAUCAUUUUUGUUUUUAGGGCAAAAAUACCACAAAACUAAAAUUAAAUUUUUAAUUUUCAAUUUCUAAACUCUAACUCUACCCCCUAAAUAUUAAACCCUAAAUGUACAAUAAUCAACCCCAAUCAAAGAUUUAAAACUCCAUACCAUUGAACAAUAAUUUGGUAUUAGUGGUAUUUUUGGAAACAAAACCAAAAUCAUGGUAUUUUGAGGAAUUCCUCAAAAAUAAAUGAGAUGUUUUAUUUAAGACCGAAAGGAUUUCAUAUUCAUUUAAAAGUAAAAAUAAAUUUGGAUACGAGCUCGUAUCGGUUUUUUAAAGUAUAAUUCAUGAAUAGUUGUAAAAUUUUAUCCACUUUCUCAACUAAAUUUGAUAACUAUUCAUGUACAAAUAUUUUCAUUUUUAUUAUAUGAUAACAGAAAAUGUUUUAUUUAAGACUGAAAAGAAAAUUUGAAACAAAAGAAGAUAUGCAGCCUAUUAUUUUUUUUUAAAAAAAUUUUUGUUUGUUCUUCAAACACAGAAUAGAGAGAGACAUAUGCAGCCUAAUUAAUCUCUUAAGAUCAAGUCUCCAUCUUUCAGUCAAAAAACCGUUUAGAAAAACUAAAAACUGUUGUAGAACUAAUUAUUUUAUUGAUCCUCAAGGGAAUAUAUAGAAGUACAUCGGGAUACAACACAUAAUGAAUAACCCUGAUUGGCUUAUUGGGCCCAGUUAUAAGUCCAAUAUGAUGUAUUAUAACACUCCCCCUUGGACAGAGUAACCGGUCCUGAUGGUCAAUCGGGAUCUCGAUAAUGCGUAGGGGAAUGUUGCCUCAUUAAAACCUUACCAAGAAAACCCAGUGGGAAAAACCAUGGUGAAGGAAAAAGAGUACAACACGCAUUACUCCCCCUGAUUAGAGCAUCACUGUAGAUCUCUAUGUCUACGCAUUCCUAUUUAUUGGAUGAGCUUCCGGAGUGUUGAAGCGGGCAAUCAUUUGGUGAAAAGGUCGGCGGAGUUCUCGCUUGAUCGGACCUGUUGAACGCUGAUCGUACCAUCCUUCUGCCAAUCCGAGGUUGAGAAGAAUUUCGGUAGGAUGUGCUUCGUCCGAUCUCCUUUGAUAUAACCUUCCUUGAGUUGAGCGAUACAUGCUGCAUUGUCUUCAUACAACACCGUAGGCUCCUUGUCUUCGUCCAUACCACAAUCUGACCAGAUGUGCUAGCUGAGUCAUGGAUCGUAGCCAAACACAUUCUCUGCUGGCUUCGUGAAUGGCCAAAAGUUCUGCAUGGUUUGAUGAAGUGGUAGUGGUUGUCUGCUUCAUCGAUCUCCAAGAGAUAGUUGUUCCUCCAUGCGUGAACACAUAACCAGUUUGAGACUUGGCAGUGUGCGGAUCUUGAAGAUAUCCUGCAUCAGCAAAACCAACUAGUCCAUCCUUGUUGUGGUUAGUGUAAAACAGUCCUAAGUCUUUAGUACCUUGAAGGUAUCUUAGGAGGUGUUUGAUACCGUUCCAGUGCCUCUGAGUUGGACAUGAGCUGAAGCGAGCUAGGAGGUUCACGGCAAAGCAAAUGUCUGGUCUAGUGUGACUAGCCAGGUACAUUAACGCUCCUACAGCACUGAGGUAUGGCUUUUCUGGACCGAGAAUUUCUUCAUCGUCCUUCUUGGGACCAAGUGGAUCAAUGUCCAAUUCUAAGCUCCGAACAACCAUUGGGCUGGUCAAUGGGUGGGCCUGGUCCAUGUUGAAUCGCUUGAGUACUUUUUCAGUAUAAGCCGAUUGAUGCACAAGGAUUCCUCCUUUGACGUACUCAAGUUGUAAACCCAAACAGAAUUUAGUUUUACCUAGGUCUUUCAUUUCGAAUUCUGCUUUCAAGCAGUCGACUGUUUGGGAGAUUUCACCAGAUGUUCCGAGGAUGUUUAGAUCAUCCAUGUAAACUGCUAUGAUUACAAAUCCUUUGUUUGAGUAGUUCUUGAUGAAAAUGCAUGGACUGAUGGGAUCGUUUUUGUAGCCUUCUCUGAUGAGAUAUUCACUUAACCGGUUAUACCACAUACGUCCACUUUGUUUCAGUCCAUACAAGGAUUUGUUCAGCCUGAUGCAGUACUGAUCUCGAGAUGCAUGCUUAUCUUUAAGCUCUAUGCCAUCUGGUAAUCUCAUGUAUAUUUCAUUGUCCAGGGGCUCAUAGAGAUAUGCGGUGACAACAUCCAUUAACCGCAAAUCUAUAUUUUCUCUUAUGGCCAGACUUAUGAGGAAUCAAAAAGUAGUUGCAUCCACCACCGGAGAAUAAGUCUCCUCAUAAUCGAUUCCGGGUCUCUGUGAGAAUCCUUGUGCUACAAGCCGUGCUUUAUAACGAACGACUUCACCGAGUUCGUUUCUCUUAAGCACAAAGACCCAUUUAUGGCCCACUGGUUUGACAUUGAAUGGUGUCUGGAUGAUCGGACCAAAAACAUUCCUGAGUUUGAGACUCUUUAACUCCACGUUUAUGGCUUCUUUCCAUUUUAGCCAGUCUGUUCUAUGAGUGCACUGUGUGAUAGACGUGGGUUCUAGAUCCUCUUGCGUGUUCGCAAUAUCAAGUGCUACUUUGUAUGCAAAGAGUGCAUUCAAGUCGACUUCUUUUCUGUUCCAUUGGGUUCCAGACAUGUUGUAAUUGAUAGAGAUCUCAUCGUUAUCGAUCUCUUCAGAACCAAAAGAUUCGGCGUCCCGAACCUCUUUCGGUGGUUCAUUAGAGUGAGUCUCAGCCGCGGCUAUGUCUGUUAUAUUGGGAAUCCCGGUUUCAACUAUUGCACCUUUCUUUGAUUUCCGUGGAUUCUUGUCUUUGGAACCUAGAGGUCUGCCACGUUUAUUUCGUGAUGCAGACUCUGUAGCAACUUGAACUUGUCCCGUUGGGACAGUUAUUCGUACAGGUGCAUUGCAAGCUGGUAUGUACGAUUUGGUUACUUUGUUUGGGUCAGCAAAGGAAUCUGGCAAUUGAUGAGCUAGCUUUUGAUAGUGUAUAAUCUUUUGGAUCUCUGAAUCAUAUUCUAGAGUCCGAGGAUCUUGCCAAUUUAAGGAUGUUUGAUUCCAUGAUAGCUCUUUGAACCAAAUUUUAUUAAAAUUUAAUAUUUUUCUAAGUUAUAGGCACAUUCAUAUUACGUAAAUAAUUUUUUUUUACUAAAAACCAUAUGUAUAUUUUAGAUGACUUUUCUAAGUACAAUCAAACCAAAUCAAAACUGAAAAACCAACCCGAAGUUGAAUCAAACCGAACCGAAACAAAUUCAAAUUAUAAAUGGUUUUUUGUGUUUUAGUUUCUAUCAAAUUACCGUAAAACCUCUAUAAAUUAAUAAAAUUGGGACCAAUGUAUUUUACUAAAUUUUAUUAAUUUAUAGAGGUUUUAUUUGUGCGGUUUAUAUAUGGUGAGCAGUGGUGAUCAUGACAUAACAAUGCCUUUCCAAGCAACUCAGGCCUGGAUAAAAUCUCUAAAUUACUCCAUCACUGAUGACUGGAGGCCUUGGAUGAUAAAAGAUCAAAUCGCUGGGUAAUAUAUAUACAAUUUUUGUUUUAGAUCUCUCUUGUUCAUUUUCUAGACGUAUCAAAAACCUCUCAAACUCACGUAAGAAUCAUUCUUGCCUUUUUCUUGACAGAUACACGAGAACUUUUUCCAAUAAGAUGACAUUUGCUACAGUCAAAGCAAGUCUUCUUAAUUGUUUCAUCUUAACAUUUUUAUUUUUAUUGCAUUUCCAUUUGAAAAAUCUAUUGUAAUUUUAAUUUUUUUGGGGGCGUUUUGAUUAUAGGGAGGUGGACACACGGCAGAAUAUCUACCAAACGAGAGUUCUAUCAUGUUCCAAAGGUGGCUCAGUGGCCAGCCUUUGUAAUAGAGGCUCAUCAUGACUUUUGUCCUUUUGUCUCCUUGUCAUAACCUUGUCGGUCACCGCGUGAUAAUAAAUAAGUUUGCAGAGAAGUUUUUGUUAAUGAACUUUUAUGAAUGAUAAUAUAUCAUACUUGAAUUUGAAUCAUUCUAUUUGAGUUAAAGAACUCGACCCUAUGUUAAGUUUCAUGGGUUUCAAACAUAAUUCAUUAAAGAUUAGUGGAUUAGUCCAUGUAAAAGGUAGAGAGACAUACUUCGAUAUAUAUCAUAACUUUGUGUCUCUGUCUUCCGUACCACCACAAGACUGGUCGUUCUUGGGCUUAAGAGCCCCAAAAUCAUAAGGGAUAGGGAAAAGGUAGCCUAUCAUAUCAAAAGGGCAAUCCAUUCUUAGAAUAUGUGUUUCAUGUCAAUAGGUUAAGUUAUGGGUUCGUCGUUUUGUUUUGAAUCCGUAAAAAAUAGAACGUUGUAAGUUGUAACGUUGGUUAACGCAGCCUGAGAAGUUUUUGACCCCUUUACCUAUUUUGGGUGAGCUGAUAGUAAUUUGAAGAAGAAAAUGAAGAAAUAGAGACCAUAAAAAUGAGAACAUGUGGAAUCUUUUGGUGAAAAAUGUAUUGAGGAUGAUACUUUGUAAUUUGGGCCUGGUCCGGCCCAUAAUUAACAGCAUGAAAAGUAAACCUGUGGGUUAUGGGCCCACCACGCUUCCGCUGCGCCACUCUGAUUUUCUUAAAUAAAUCAGCACUUGCUUAUAUUUAUAUGUUAAUAUACCACAAUCAUUCUUAGCUAAACGCUUUUUCUUUUCCGAAACCCUUUAUAAAGGAACCCUAUUUUACCAUCACCUUUUAUUUGUUAACUUUUCAAAAUCGAUUGUUUCGAUUCAAUGAUUUAACUUUUCACUGUUGAUGUUGGGAUGGGUCUUAAAAUAAAUUUCAGGAUCUCUCCACUGGUGUUAACCUGAAGAGUGAAGACACAUACACAGAUUCAUUAAAUAAAAUUUAUGUGUUCACAAAAAUUGUAGUAUGCCUUGGAGACUCUUUGAAAUAUCCGGACUUUGACAAAUCUAUCUUCUUGGUUAAGGAUUUGAAGUGAGAGGGUUACCUACAUACCAAAGCUACUAAUGUGAAAAGUUAGUGAGAUGCGUUGGUGAAGAUCAUCCUAUUUAGGUUAACUUUCCAAAACAUUUUUAUUUGUAAAAACAAAACAAAUUUAGUUGUUUACUUGUUUAGUGAGUAUUGCUUUAGUAAUAUUCAGUAAUAGUAGAUUCAACAUUUUUAAAUGUAAAAUAUUUUAACAUUAUUAUGAAUUCAUAAAAAUAAAAAAGAUUUUCGUUUUAGAUAAUGUGGAGUAUAGUGUGUUACACAUGCCAAAACUGGACUCCAUUUAUCUUUACCAUCUUUAAGUAGAAACAGAAUGAAUUAUCAUUACCAAUAUUGUGCUUGUUACUAGAGGAAAAACUAGAAAACUUAAACAGAGUUGAACCGAUUUAAGUCAAAAAUAUGAUUCAAAAGAAAAAGAAACAAAUUAAUUCGUUUUCUAAAUCCCUAUAUUCGAACAAAACUGAACAUAAGUUACCAAACGUUUUCUUAAAACAAAACCUUUACACUAAUUUUGUUACUAUGUUCACUAAACCAACAAGGAAAAGAAAAACCAAAGAUCACAUAUAAAAUUACAAAUACUUCAUAAUUUGACAACAUGAAAUACAUUUUUAUUGUUUAUGCGUAAUCAUCAUACCAUUCUUCAUCAUUAGCAUCCAAAUAUUCUUCUUCUUCAUCAUCUAUCUUACCUGGUCCAAGCGAUUCGACCGGGCGAGAAAGGUUUGGAAUGGUUCUUGCCUCACCAACUAUCUUCAUAAUCUCCUCUACUCUUUGAGGAGAAAAGUUAAUAAGAUUAACAUUCCUUUGGUAAUAAAUAGCUUGUGCUGACUCCUUUAGUUCUCUUGGCAAAUUCUUUACGAACCAUGCAUGACUCUUAAUCUCUUUAAGCGUACUUCUCUAUAAUAGUUACAAAACAACAAACAUUUAAAGAAGUUGAUUGGCAGGUAAACAAUAAGGUUAAAAAUCCAUCUAUACUUACAUGUAACGGAUUGGCAACAAAUAUACGAGAUAAUAACUUUCUGCAGUCUUCUGAUAUGUGAACAUAUCCUGGAAUCUUGUACUGUACAGCCAUUAUUUUCUGUAAUUUCCAACCCAAAAAUGACAUAUGAUUGUGUGAUUAUAUAGAUGAUCACUUCGUUUAUUUUAUACAUUAAAAAAAAUACCUGAACAGUUUUUCGGAAAUUGCGAGGGUCUUUAGGGUCUUCGAAAGGAUAAGCUCCUACUAACAUAACAUAGAGUGCCACUCCACAAGACCACACAUCAACUGACUGUAGAAUGAUAUAUAAAUCAAACAACCUCAAGUUAUAUUGUAAAUCUGUAAUCAAUAAACAUUAGUAUAAUUUUUAUUUUAUUUCGAACAAAAAAUCGUGACCUCGAAUUAAAUUUCCUCCGACUUAAGGAGUAGAACAUGUUCAGGUUCGAAUUCUGGUUGUUACAUACUAGUUUUUUGUAUGAAUAGUGGGAUGUAAAAAUAGGAAUGUUGAUCAUUAAAAUUUUUCUUAAAGAAGUCUUGGUUUAUUUUGUUAUACUUAUGUUUAUUUGGAUUUAAAUUUUGUUUUUUCGAAUUAAAACAAAUUUUGAACAGAAAUUAUCGCUUCCAAAAGGUUGAUCUAUUGCUAUUAGACUACCACACAUUUGGUAGUAUGUUUUUCAUUUAGUUACACUUACAGUUGGUCUAUUCGAAAUGGACAAUUGUCCUCUUAGCAAAGUAUAUUGAUAACUUUAAAGGCAACACCACGAAAUAUAAUUGUGCAAGUUACUUCCCAAAACAAAUAUUAAGUUGACCAAUGAACAUUUUGCUGACGUUGGUUAUUUGACAGUGGCCAUUUAAUUUGAAUAGAUAUUGGAUAAAGUCGAUAUAUAGUAGUAUACAAUUUACCAUAGAAGACUAGUAACAAAUGUCAUGUGAAGUGGAUAUAGGAAGCAAGCUAGCUUUUGUCGUUUACUACUCUUUUUCCAUGAAUUAUGGUUUUAUAACUAUUGAAAGUGGAAUGUCCACCUAAAAACACUAUUGAAAGUGGAAUUCAGACUUGUAAAUAUCUUUGUUAUUAGGAAAAAAAAAAUAUAUAUAUAUUCAUCAUUAUUAAAAAUGGAAAUAAUUUAAUUUACCUUUCCAUCGUAUUCCGAUCGACAAAAAACUUCCGGUGCUAUAUAUGCCGGAGUUCCCACCGUUGAUUUUGGGUUGGAAUGCAGAACAGAAGACUGUCCAAAAUUUAGAAAUUAUUAUUAUACAUUCAGAAGUUUAGAUUUUAUGUUACAAAAAUUGAAAAGAAAUGAACUAAUAAAAAUAAAAUAAAAACCUUUGAGUAGCCAAAAUCACAAAUUUUUAAACGUGGUGCUGGGCUUCCAUCAAGCAAUGUGUUUUCUAAUUUCAGAUCUCUGUGGCAUAUUUUCUGCAAAAGUAAAAAAUUUCAUUAAUAAAACCAUAACACAACUAUUAUAAUUACAAUUUGGUGUGUACAAUCAAUUUACCAUGGCAUGUAAGUAAUGGACUCCACAAAUGAGUUGUUGAAAGAAAUAUCUUGCCUGCAAGUAAAAUAAAUAAAUUAAUAGAUAUUAAUGAGGGUAUAAUGAAUCAAAAAUGUGGUAAUCAAAAUUAUCAUCUUAUUUUCGACAAAAUGUAUGUGUCGACAAAAAAAAAACAAGAAUUUCAUUUCCAAACCUCAGCUUCACUAAAUCGACCCGCGCUAGAUAUCCGAUCAAAUAGUUCUCCUCCAGCUGCGUACUCCAUUACAAUCCCAAGAUGUGUCGGAGUUAGAACAACCUAAAUCAUCAACACACCAAGUUUCAAUAUAUUUUUUAUUAGCGUCAAAGUGCCAUAUUUUUUGAAGUUUCCUAUAUCGAAUAAAAUCUUUGGACCUUUCACGAAGUUAGAAACGAGUUUUAGGAGAAUCCGAAUUCAAAGUCAACGACGAGACAGGUUUUUGAAUUAUGUGAACUAAGAGAUUCGAGUAAAGGACAAAAAUAAAUAACCUAAUAUUCACUUCCUUAACGAACUAAAAUAUUUCACUUGCCUCUUUAAACCGAACACUAUUGGGAUGGUUGAGAGCUCUAUGAUUGAUUAUUUCUCUUGCAACGUUCUCAUCUAUCUGCAUCAAACAACAAGUUUGGUAACAACCUCAAAGUUCUUAGUAUCAGAGAAAAGAACAAACAAACAAAAAAAAUAACUAAAAACCUUAUAGCCUCGAUCGAUGAAUUUGACAGCCACAAGCUCGUUUGUUUGCUUAUUACGCAUAAGCCGAGCCAAACCGAAAUUACCAAAUCCCAAAUCCUUCACCAUCUCAUACUUCUCCAUCGUUACAACUACUUUUUUGUUCUCACUUCCUUAAAAUGGUCCUUUAAUAUCUUUUUUUUUUUUUGAUGAAUCUUCUCUUCCAAAAUAUCUUUAGAGACUAGAGAUAUAUAUAUAGAGAGAGAGUGGGAAAGAACGAAGUUAUUAAAUCUCACACACAAAAAAAAAGUAAUUUAGUUUACACGUAGCAAAUAUGACGAAUACUCGAAUAAAAGUGUUGAAACUUGAAAGAGCUUUUCAGGAUACCUAAUAGACAUUUCUUAAGUCUACUAAGCUAUGGACCCACCCAUAUAUAUAUAUCAAUUUUUACCUCUACAAGUAUCACUUUUACUAUUUCUUGUAUGGGUUUAAAGAUACUCGAAACUGUUGAAAUUUACCUCUCAAGCAAGAUUAGAUCAUUGGAUUGUGGUUUUGAAGUUUUGAAUAGGCUGCAUACGCGUCACCGUUUACAUGGAUGUGGUAUUCAUAUAUCUCACAAUUCUUCUCCUUGGUUCACGAUUACAUAUUAUUAAUUAUAGUCUCACAUAGGAUCAGAUGAAACUCUAAUGACACCAAGAACAUCUUACAAGGUUCAUAUGACUACUUGUAUCGACUAUCGAGCAAUUGAAACGAUUUUCAUCACUCAAAAACAACUUAAAGAUCAAUGAACCAAAAAAAACAAUCUUGAUAAAUUCAGUUCGUAGAAUUUAGUUGUUGCUGAAAGAAGAAGCUGAUAUUGUUCCAUCACUUAAACAGAGACAUGGAAAUCUUCAUUGUGUUGGCUUUUGAUUCUUUUUCCUUUUUCUCACAUAUACGAUUAACUCCCUCGAUGUACUGGAAGUAUCUUCGGCUUCCGCUUCCACUUCCACUAUUUCUUUACCUUGUGACACAUUUUGAGUCUCCUUCGUUUUCUUCAAAAGAACCAACAUCAAUCUCAAUCAAAUCCACCAUGAACAUCUUCAAAAAACAACGAUCAUUAAACAAACCUUCUUAUUUAAGCGAUGUGUAGACAUUAGCUCAUAGAAUUUCCGCAUCAUCAUCUCUUCUUCCACCUAAACAACAAAUGUACGUGAGAUUGAAAAGAGCUAAUGUACACUAAGUUUCAUCAACAAACCUCGAGUUUUUGAAGUUCUUGAGUCAUGGUUUUACGAGUUUCUGUGAGCAAUUCAUUUUGCUUCUCCAAAUGGCUGUUGAUGUGCUGCUAACAACAGUAAAUCAUCAUACGCAUACACACGAAAAUAAGCGUAAAACUGUAACAAAAAGACGCACUUUAAUAGAUCGUCGGUAUGAUUAGGAUCCAUGUUCACAAAAUGAUCAACUUCUUCCUAUACUGGUCUUCAGCUGAUCACAAUGAAUCAAAAUUUCAUGAGAAGAUAAUUGACAAAAGCAUAUAAAAAGCACUGAUUCAUCCACACACAUAUCACUAGAGAAGAUAUGAUUCUAAAAAUCUGAAGGGUAUGAUCACAAAUUCGAACAACAGCAAAACCCAGAUAAUUAUAUCAUUCAAAUUAGCUGAUUAAAGGAAGAAACAUAACGAACCAAACAAACAUGAGAACAAAAAAACACAGAUUAAGAAAAGGAAUAUCUUACUUAGACAAUUCGUCGAGCAACUGGUGUGCAUAUAUAGAUAAAUUAUCAAAAAGGAAGUUCUUUUAUUAGUAAAAAAUCUUGAAAAUUCAAGUACGUACCCUUUCGUCGAAUUCUUAUAACUUCACCACCAAUAACAACACUUGACGAUUGUCUUCUUCUCUCUCACACACUCGUUUGUGUCCUGCAAUCUCUCACCCAAAAUCAAGUCCUCUCUUCUACAAUGGAGUUGACUGGGCUAAUGGGCCGGUCCAUUGUACUUUGGGCCGAAAACCAUUUUUUGUGACAUUGUUGGGAAACAAAUUUACGUCCUAUAAAAUAAUUGUCUAAUAUAUACUGUAAAUCAAAUUUAACUUAAAUUAAUACGAGAUUUUUUGCGAAAAAACCCCAAAAACAAAUCUGUGCGGGCUUGACUAAAUGAUUUAGAACAGAAAAUUUCAUACAGUUGACUAAAUGUAACAUAACACACUUGGUAUAGAUAGUUGUAGUUGUAUUUUUUCUUUAAGGGUUCUUUGAACCACUCCAAGAUUUUGAUCCUUGAUUAAAUUUUAAAGUAUGUUAAAAAGUAGAAAAUAUGUGUAUCUCUGACUUCUCUGUUGUUAUGCUUUUCGCUUAACCAUCUUUAUAGAAAACAUACAAAAAGAUUUGAUUCGUUUUGUCCUUUGAAUAAAUGUUACCAAGAAAUUCUGGUUACUGCAGAGAACUGCUUAAAACACUUAUUUUUUUCCAUUAUUUUUUUCAUUCAUCACCCAAAUCACAAAGAUGCAACCAUUGGAUUCGUUUUUUUUUUUUUUUUUUGCCGUAGUCAAAAAUCUUGGGUUUAUUUUUUAACAUUACACAAUGGGCAACCAAAAAGAGGAGUUCAUGUGCUAAGCACUUAGAAAAAAAAAAGAGUUAAAAAAACAAACAAACAAGCGUGGUGUUUGGGUUUUCGAGCCUUGAGAGGUUGGUGGGUGUGUUGUUGUGAAUCUCUAAGUUUUCUCUGUAAAUUAUAUAUUUGUUUACAUGUAUAUAAAACAAUCUUUCUUGUGAAGUAACCCUUUUAAGCUUUCUUGAGAGCAAGAUUGUGCAUAGAUCUCUUCUUAGCUUUGUUUCUCUUUUGUGUUUAACGAUCUUGAAAGUCUUGUAACUUCUUAAAAGAGAGACAGAAAAAAAUGAAGUUUAUGAAACUUGGAACCAAGCCUGAUUCAUUUCAAUCUAAAGGAGACAAUGUUAGGUUUGUAGAAAACAGAUAUUUACCUCUAUGUCUCUUUAAGCAAUGUUUUUCUUAGAAAUUGUCUGUUUUUUGGCUCUUAGGUAUGCAACAACUGAGUUAGAAACAGAGAUCAUCAUCAUCAUAGGCAAUGUCAAAUUCUAUCUGCAUAAGGUAUGCAAACAAAAUCUACCUUUUAAAACAUCAAAGAACAAGCAAAAGCAAGAGUGUUUAUGUUUUGUGUGUGUGUUUUCAGUUCCCAUUGCUGUCGAAAAGCGGAUUCUUGCAGAGACUCAUAGCAACAUCAAAAAAUGAAGAGGAGAAGAAGAACCAAAUUGAUGAGAUUGACAUAUCAGAGAUUCCUGGUGGUUCUGUUGCGUUUGAGAUUUGUGUCAAGUUCUGUUACGGCAUCACGGUUACUUUAAACGCUUACAAUGUAGUAGCAGCUCGUUGCGCGGCUGAGUUCUUGGAGAUGAAUGAAACGUUUGAGAAAAGCAAUCUUGUUUACAAGAUUGAUGUUUUCUUGAACUCAACCAUCUUCCGUAGUUGGAAAGAUUCUAUAAUUGUGCUUCAGACCACAAAAGAUCUCUUGUCUAAUUACUCAGAGGAGCUCUUGAAGCGUUGUCUUGACUCUAUUGCUUCUACAGCUUCGAUAGACACGUUGAAAGUCAAGUGGUCUUACAGUUACAACAGGAAGAAGAAGCUUGAGAACGUGAAAAAACCAGAAGAUGCGGUUCCAAAAGACUGGUGGGUAGAAGAUUUAUGCGAUCUUCAUAUGGAAUUGUAUAAACAAGCCAUUGAAGCAAUCAAGGCGAAAGGGAAAGUCCCGAAUACCGUUAUUGGAGAAGCGUUACACGCUUAUGCAAAAAGAAGAAUAGCUGGUUUUAGUAAAGGCUCAAUGCAAAUCGUUGAUAAAUCUUUAACUGAUACAAUCAUUGAGCUUAUACCAGGUGAGAAAAGAAGUGUUUCUUCUAGUUUCUUGACCAAGUUACAUCGAGCAUCGAUCUUUCUUGGAUAUGAAGAAACAGUGAAAGAGAGGUUAAAGAAAAGAAUCAGUGAGCAGCUUGAAGAAACAACAGUGAAUGAUAUCUUGAUGUAUGAUUUGGAUAUGGUGCAGAGCCUAGUGAAGGAGUUUAUGAACCGUGAUCCGAAAACUCAUUCGAAAGCAUCUGUUGCAAAACUCAUAGAUGGAUACUUAGCUGAGAAAUCAAGAGAUCCUAAUCUUCCUCUUCAGAACUUCCUCUCUCUCGCGGAGACACUCUCUAGCUUCCCAAGACAGUCUCAUGACGGGUUAUAUCGCGCCAUAGACAUGUUUCUCAAGGUAAAACAAGAUCCAUAUUCACUUGUAGUUUCUCAUAAAGAUUCUUGAUUUUUAAUGGGUUUUGAUUUGGAAAUGUUCAGGAACAUUCGGGUGUUAGCAAGAGCGAGAAGAAGAGAGUAUGCGGGUUAAUGGAUUGCAGGAAACUAUCAGCGGAAGCGUGUGAACAUGCUGUGCAGAACGAACGUUUGCCAAUGCGAGUGAUAGUGCAAGUUCUCUUCUUUGAACAGCUCAGAGCCAAUGGUUCAUCAACAGGAUACAGUACUCCUGAGCUCACCACAACGACUCUAAACACUGAGGAUGAUGAAUGGGACCAUGAGAAAGAGUUUUGAUCUCAGCAUUAUUGAAUCUUUUAUCAUAUGUUUCUUCAGAACUUUACAUCAAACUUUGAGUUUUUCCUGGUUAUUGUUUUUCCUGAAUUGGAAACAUUUUGGUCCUGACCUUCGUAAAUGGGUCAGGUAGUAAUGGGUUUUGUGUCUGGGCUUGAAGCCGUUCCAAUCUCAAUUUUUAAUGAGACUAAAAUCAGAGAAAACUCUCAUUUGUAUUUGUCCGUAACCCAAAAGAAAAACCGCAAUUAUCUAUAAACCAAUUAGGGGUCGAUUGGUUGAGAUUUUUACUGUAAGCUUUAUUUUAAAUUCAUGACUGUAAAAUUUAUGAUUUUAGAAAAUAAAUCGUAAUUUUUAAGAAAAUAAAGUCAUAUUUUGUUAGCUUUAAAAAAAGUUGCAAUGAGUAUUUCCCUCCAUGGUCUAUGUUAAUUUUACAAAUGGUAAACAGAAAAAAGAAACAAAUUAUCUAUAUUAUUAAAACUGAAGUAUAUUUGACAAAGAAAGUUUGGAGUUGGAACUUAUUUAAAGGCAAUGAUAUUGGCAUUUAUUUAUUUUUAAAUUAUUCUCUCAAGAAUCUUUAUCAUUUAUCUUUAGUAAAGUAAUGGUUACGGCGGAAUUUAAAUUAAAAUCAAUUUUAAUUCGAUUUUGAUUCAUUUAUUUAUUUAAGAAAAAAAGUAUUUUUUGGAAUAUGUUGUGAUUCGAAUUUUUAAAAAUAGACAUACUUUACUCAAAUAUGAUAAAUAAACGUUUUAAAAAAUAAUGUAAAAAUUGUAUUACAACAUAAAAAUUAGCGGGAUGGUGGAAAUUUAUAUUAGAAUAUAUAAUAAAAAAAUAUUAUACUAUUUUAGUACUAUGAAUAUAAAAAACUAAAAACAUAAUUUUGUCAAAAUUUUAAAAUUUACUAAAUACUAAACUAUGAUAUAACUUAUAAUGGAAACCGUUUUUGUGGAAAAUUCAAAAAAGGAAAACAAGCAUGUGGUAGUCAUGUGCUACGGUUAGGGUUGUUGCAACAAAAGAAGGAGGGCAAUAACGUCUUUUCUCUGAUAACUCAACUCAAUCAGUGUCUUCUUCUUCUUCAGUUUGUUACAGAGCGAUUAAGAGAGAGUGAGAGAUUCUUGGGGUUGGGUAGUGAGAGAGAGAGCUUGAGAACAAGUUUGUAAAGGAUACGUUAUACACCAAGUUUCUAGUGGAUUCUGGAGAAGAUUCUCCGGCGAGAUGUAGGGAAUCCGGCAAGGAUCCCGAACUCGUUAAAUCUGUGUGUUCUUGCUUUUGUUCUUCUUUUGAUUCAUUCCGAGAUCUCAUCACAAAGAUCGAUUCAAGUAUUGGUGAGCUCAGUUCGAUUAUAAACCUUCACAAAUUGGUAUCAGAGGCUCUUCGAUUUCAUGGAAGACGGUGAAGUCGUUAAUCGAAAGAAUCGGAGGAUUUGAAUUAUUCAACAUCGCGACUUAGGAGAAGAAAAUAAGAAGAUGUUGCGAUGUCAAGAACGAUGGAAGAAGUGAACUUGUGACUGUUCUUGGAAGAAGACGUGGUAAGUUGAAGAAAGAAAAUCAAUGGAGUUAUCCCAAUCAGAUCAAAUGAUUUCUGGUUUGUGAAAUCAGUUGAAUCGUAAGUUAUUCUCUCUCUAAGAAUCAGAAAUUUGACAUCUAUGGUAGUUCUAGUUCAAGAAUUUGCUGGGAACGAUGUUGAAAUCACGACAAGUAUAAGAUCGUUGUAGUCUGGAUCGAAGCACAAGACAUCAUCAAGACUCAAAACUUUGUGAAAUUAAGUAUGCAUCCGCUGCAAGUCGCAAGGUUGUAAAAGCACAAGUUUGUAUGUUCACUGUGCAAGGUUGUGAUGUUAUGAAAUCUUCAAGUCUGUAAAGAAAAGAGCCAAGAUUUGUUAAAGCACAAGUUUGUAUGUUCACUGUGCAAGGUUUUUAGCUAAGAUUUUACACUAGGUGUUAGUGUGGUUUCUGGUUAAGGCAUUGUGGGAGUUUUUUUUAUUCAAACUUGGGUUCAAGAUUAGUAAAGAACAGUUACUGGAAGCUCAUAAAAGUCGGGGACGCCUUGGUUGCUUGAUUGGUAUAUGGGUUCAUGGUUGUUUGGACAUCAGUUAAGGCUCAGCAUUUAAAGACAGAAAUUGCAGGAUUAUUCAGGAAUAAUCAGGGAGUUUGCUUAGUAAAGUAAGUUGAUGAUUUAGAGGAUUUCAAGUAUUUGCCAGAGUUUUGAGAAAUAGUUUGUCAAAAGUUAAGUCUCAGAGUUAGUUAUCAGAUUCUUAAAAGAUCGCAAGGACUCCAAGUAUAUGGUGAUCAAAGGUUUGAACAUAGGUCAUCAAUGAGUGAGUGGCAGCUAGGACAAUCCAAAGAUGGAGAAAAACAGGGACACCAAGAAGUAACAAACAAAUUCUCAACUAAAGAUGGAGAAACAUCUUGUGUAAGUAAAUCAAGAUGUGACCGGCAUAAGCCAGUAAGAAUAAAACCAAGGAAAUGUAAAUUGGUUAUUGGUUCUUAUGGCUCAAGUCUGAGAGUCAAGAAGAAAAGUGGAUCAGCUGGUUAUAGGAAUAUCGAGACAUGAAGACUCAAGUUUAAAGGCAUUGUUCGGGUGUUUCUACAGCUAUAACAAGUUAACAGUUGGUCUGUUGGUCUAUAAGACAGACUAAAGUAUUCAAUCUGAAAUCAUAAAAUCAGAAUGAGAGAGCUUCAUUAGAAGCAAGUGGUUCUUGGAGAGUCUUCUAGAUAUUAAAGAGACUGUUGGUGUAGCUACAAAGUGGAAAGAAUUAUAGAUAUAUCAAGUGUUAAUGUCUAUACAGUCGAGCACACAGAGAUUUAUGAUUGAGAAUCAUAAGAGACAGUGAUGAAGAGGUUGUUAGCUCAGCAAGUUAGAACAAAUGUUGAGAGAUACAAGUAAUUAUGAAAGAUCUAAGUUUCCGGUGGAGCCACUAGUGUUACAGAAAUGUGAUACAUAUUCAUGAAGAUGGUUUGUGAUUCCAUGUGGAGCUAUACAAUUAAAGAGUAUCUCCAGUUAACUUAAGUGCGGAGACAUGGGCUGAGUAAACAGGUUUAUCAACUCAUCAGGUUUGAUUUAUGAGAAGAAAUUAGUUACUGUUUGGGUAUGAUUCAGGUUGGUCAAGUGUGUGUGUUGAAGACAGAGGUUCGAGAACAGGUUAAGAUGUCAGAAAGGUUCAAGCAUAAUCAUGUUGCAACAGGAGUGAAGAAUAAAGUUUUCAGGGGGACUGUUGGAAUAUAAUUGAGUUUCUUAGUAAUGUUUUAAGUUUUAACUGAUUUCAUGCAUUAAGUGACGUGUCUUUUACAUGUGUGAAGAGUUACAACUCUUAGUUUGUGUUGUUUCAUGUUGUGUCUUUCCUAGUCUAUAUAAAGACAUUGUCUGUAAACUACAUUCAGUUUUCAUAUUAAUAAAGUUGUGUUUUCUGAGAAAGAGAAUAUCGUUUCUCAUACUCUGUUUUCUUCCUUAUUGUCUUGAGAAUCAAAGAUCAACACUAACGAAGCGAAGCGGGAGGCUGAGAGGCUGCAGAGGAUUGUACUAGCGAAAAUGUAUAAGUCUGAGGAGGAAUACGCAACGCAAGUAACAGAGGCUGAGCGAGGCCGAGGCAGAGACGCAGUAUCUGUUUGAGAAGAUUAAGCUGCAGGGAUAUUCGUCCCGUCACAGGUGUUGAUGUACUCAAAGAUCUCUGCUUCAAGGAUACAAUCUCUCGCCCAAUCCAAUCCUUGAGGGUAUGAAUUUUAUUUUUCUUUUCUACAACUCUUUCAUUAGCUUUGAGCUAAUCUAACUCUGAUUCUCUGGUAAGAACUCCUUGUUUUGAUUAGUCUCUAGGUAGCAGCAACUUUCAAUCCCUAAACAUCAAUCUCUGUUAGUGCAAGAUAUAUACUCCUAUCUUGACUUUGAAAAUAAAUGUAUAGAUAGUGAUUGUGCUAAACAGAGAAACCAAAAGUUUGGAUAUUCCAUCUUGGAUCUUGAACUCGGGGAACACAUAUAUGGUUUCCAAUGACCUUGAAACUGAUCCGCGGAGUCAAGCAUGACUAAAGCAGAUAAUAUGGAAGAAAAACGAAAGCUCAAGAGUUUUACAAAGCAUUCUUAACACAGCUCAAGUCUCAUGUGAUGUCAGAACAACUUUCACCUUGUGGUAGGCGCUGAAAAGCAGCUGCAGAUGGUGAUUUACGGUAUAGGCAGCAACAAGUGAGUCUUAAAGAAUCGGAUUGGUAAUAAGAGUCGGCAACAGGAUCUAUUGUCCUGAGGAGUAGGCUUUUUUUGCAAAAUUGCGAGCAGAUUGUAUAGUGGAAAUGACCAAUUCUUUGACACAUUGGGCAGAUUAUCAUGACAAAGAUUUCUCAAAAUCAAACAUUUAACUUAAUUAAAAGGUUUUUUUUUUUCAAGCCAUAAAUAGAGCAUGGCAAGCUUAAAGUUACAAAACAAUUCGAAAACACAUUGUCCAGGGAACAAAGGAGAAGGAGAUAUUUGCUAGACAUAGGUGAAGAUUUUUAGUUUUGCCUUUUCGAAAUUGAUUGGAGCUGCUUAGCUAUGGCGAGCCAGGUGCAAAGCAUUCCAACCUAUAGGAGCAAGAAACAAUCAACCAUCACCAUCCAUCUAAAUAGCUACUGCUAACUAAUUGAUAUAUACACACACACACUAGAGAGAGAAUAAUCAAAAGUAAAUGGACACCGUUAUAUACCUUAAUGGUGUGACUAAGGCAUGGAGGUUGAAGUGGUAACAAUAUCAGACGACACAUUU
rnacentral:lncRNA from 1 species